rnacentral:lncRNA from 1 species
AAUGAACGCCCUGUGGAUGAAAAGCCUAAAGAAAAACAAAGCAAUUCACAAGUCUAUAUAGUUCACUGUGAGUUCCCUGAUGGCGAUAGGACUGCCAGAUAUCAAGAUUUAGAUAGCUGGUAUCUUUCUUUCUUGCCUGCAACAACCUCAGAUAGCUCUCGUGAGGCACCACGAUUGAUCUAUUCCUAUCGGAAUGUUCUAACAGGUUUUGCAGCUAAGUUAUCUCCAGAUGAUCUCAAGGAAAUAGCCACGAUUGAUCUAUUCCUAUCGUAAUGUUCUAACAGGUUUUGCAGCUAAAUUAUCACCAGAUGAUCUCAAGGAAAUGGAGAAAAAGGAAGGAUUUAUUUCUGCCCGUCCCGAAAAGCAACUUGAUUUAUACACCACACAUAGUCUCAAUUUCUUGGGGUUGCACCAGAACAUGGGGUUCUGGAAUGACUCAAAUUAUGGACAAGGUGUGAUCAUUGUUGUCAUUGACACUGGAAUUUUCCCGGACCACCCUUCGUUUAGCGACAGUGGGAUGCCCCCACCCCCUGCUAAAUGGAAGGGUAAGUGUGAAUUUAAUGUUACAAAGUGUAACAACAAGCUCAUUGGAGCAAGGUACUUCGAGUCCUCGGGGAACGGGUCACCAUGGGACGAAAAUGGACAUGGUACGCACACUGCUAGCACGGCUGCUGGAAAUUUCGUGCCAGGUGCUAAUAUAUUUGGCAACGCUAAUGGCACUGCAGCAGGCGUUGCACCUCUAGCUCAUGUUGCCAUUUACAAAGUGUGCUCAGGUAUCACUUGUUCUGAAAGUGACACUUUAGCUGCAAUGGAUAUGGCUAUUGAAGAUGGUGUCGAUGUGCUUUCGCUUUCCCUUGGUAGACUUACUAAUAAUUUCUAUUCUGACAACAUAGCACUUGGUGCGUUUAGUGCAACGGAAAAGGGAAUCUAGGGGAUCUUUGUUAGUUGUGCUGCUGGAAAUUCAGGACCAUCCAGUUUUUCGACAUCUAAUGAAGCGCCCUGGAUUUUAACAGUCGGUGCAAGUACCAUCGACAGGAAAAUUAAGGCUACUGCUGUGCUUGGAAACAACGAAGAAUACGAUGGAGAAUCAGCUUUUCAACCUAGUGACUUUCCUCCAACACUUUUGCCUCUUGCCUAUCCGGGGAGCAAUGACAGUGACAUUUUGGCUAAAUAUUGUUACCCUACUUCGCUGAACAACACAAAUGUCACGGGAAAGAUUGUGUUGUGUGAGGUUGGUAUAACAUCGCGAGUUUCUAAAGGAGAAGCUGUGAAGGCGGCUGGUGGUGCUGCCAUGAUUCUUAUGAAUACAGAACUCUUGGCUAAUACAACAUCAGCCGAGGCACAUGUCCUUCCGGUGACACACGUUAGCUAUGCAGAUGGUCUAAAAAUCAAAGAGUAUAUAAACUCAACAUUAGUCCCUACUUCAACAAUAGUAUUCAACGGAACUAUAAUCGGAGAUGAUCAUGCUCCAGUGGUUGCUGGAUUUUCUUCCAGGGGUCCAAGUUAUGCCAGUCCUGGAAUUCUAAAACCGGACAUUAUUGGUCCUGGUGUUAACAUCCUAGCAGCUUGGCAUAGUUCCCUAGAAAAUAACAUAAACACGGACUCUUAUUUCAACAUGAUUUCAGGUACCUCAAUGUCUUGUCCUCAUCUCAGUGGUGUUGCAGCACUGCUAAAAAGUGUGCACCCUGAUUGGUCUCCUGCUGCAAUUAAGUCAGCAAUUAUGACAACAGCUGAGAACACAAGCUCUAAUUUCAACAUGAUUUCAGGUACCUCAAUGUCUUGUCCCCAUCUCAGUGGCGUUGCAGCGCUGCUAAAAAGUGUUCACCCUGAUUGGUCUCCAGCUGCUAUUAAGUCAGCAAUUAUGACAACAGCUAAUGUCUUAAAUCUCGGAUUGAACUUCAUCGAGGAUGAAACGUACCUUCCAGCUGGUGUCUUUUCCACGGGUGCUGGACACGUUAAUCCAUCGAAAGCAAAUGAUCCCGGCCUGAUAUAUGACAUAGAACCAGCCGAUUACAUAUCUUACCUAUGUGGUUUGAAUUACACAAAUAGACAAGUUGGGAUCUUUUUGCAGCGUAAAGUUAACUGUUCAGAGAUAACUAGCAUCUUAGAAGGUCAACUAAAUUAUCCAUCAUUUUCGAUUAAACUCAGUACCGACUCAGCAGCUCAAACAUAUUCAAGAAACGUGACGAACAUAGGACAAGCCAACUCUACAUAUAGUGUUGAAAUUGUUUCACCACCGGGCGUUGAUGUAAAAGUUGAACCAACUACACUAGUUUUUUCAGAGGUGAACCAGAAAUUGAGCUAUCAAGUGACGUUUACGCCUUUGCCUAGUAAUCCAAGUAGCGGUUAUUAUCAGGGAUCUCUCAAAUGGAUUUCUGAUAAACACAUUGUUAGGAGCCCGAUUGCUGUGAGAUUCAGCUUUUUCUGAAAAGGAAAUGAAGGAGCUGGAUAUCAGUGACAAGCUGAUCAAGUUUUUUCCUUUGUAAUAAGACCAUUUUCACCUUACGACGUGAAAAUGUAUCUUCUUCUCUUUCUUUUUUCCUUUGGUAAUUUCCUGUUUUAUCUUGUUAACAAGAGUGUGACACUGUUGAUACCAAAUAUGUGUGUUUUUCUUCUUAUCUCUUUUUAGCGUCAAGUUGAAUGUAUCAGAGUUGAGAUUUAUGUCGUCUGUUUUUUACUCUUGCCAAUACAAUCAUAUUCUUAUUCUACUACUCAACGAUACAAAAAUGAAAUAUAUUACAGUUUUCGGUAAAUAUUAAGCAACUCAUAUUUUAACAUUCUCGAUCAGGAGAAUCGUGCUUAGCAAAAAGUAGACAAAUAACUUGAUUGUUGAUACCAUCCUGCUUGUUUUUUUCUUCUUAGGAAAUGCUAAUAGCGGAGCCACAUUCAACUAAGGGGUGUAUCGACACCCCUUUGCCGAAAAACUAUAUUGUAUGGCCAGAUAACUUUUUUUUUGUUUUAUGUGUAUUUACUAUACAUUACCUACCCUAAACUUUUGCUGUAUCUAUUUUUUUAUAUUUUGACGCCCCUUGAUGUAAAUUCUGGCUCCGCCACUAGGAAAUGCAUAUCAUUGAUAGCCAAAUGAUAUGCAUUUCCUAUGAAAGUAUAGUUUUCUAAAUAAAAUAAUAAAAGUAAAUGCAAUAUCAUUGAUAGCUAGAUGUCAGAUACUUAUCUGAUGAGCUGAAAAUGAAAAGAAAACAAACAUGAAAUUACUUCAAGUAGUUAAACUUCCAACCUAUCUGAAACAGAAGUUCAAGUAGACAAGAAAUAUAUUGUGCUGUUCCGUGUUUGCCAAGGAUUUAGCAAUCUGGAGUAAAGAAGGCAGCAGGCCUGUUUUGUCUCAAUAGUUAAGGUGUGUCCAAGUUGACUCGAACAUUACUGAGAUAGAAAAUAUUAUCAUGAAAAUUGACGACUUUGUCUAUAUGUUGUUGCUAUCUCAAGUUCAUUCUCAGAGAUUAGUUAGAUUAAACUAAAAUUGUAUUUAGCAUGUAGAUGACCAAUUCAGUUUUAGGCCUAUUUUUUAUUUCAUGAUUCUCCCCCCCAUGACUAGUUCACAUGUCUAUAGUAGCUUCUGACUAGAAAAUAAAAAAAUACAUUCAAGAACUAUAUAUAUCCUCAACUAAAAUUCCAAAUUCCAACCAAAAUCCUUUGGCAAAUACCUCUUUUUUCUAACUUCAUCCCUCCAUUGUGGAUAUAAUCCAAACUCAUUAGCACAGAAAACUGAUAUUUCACUUGCAGUAAAGUUGUCAUGGCUAAAUUCAGGUCAAUUAUCACAAUAUUUGGCGUUGUUUUCCUAUUCUCUUCAUUCACCACUAAUGCAAAUGAACAUCCUGUUGAUGAAAGGCCUGAAGAAGAACAAAGCAAUGCACAAGUCUAUAUUGUUCAUUGUGAGUUCCCUGAUCGUGAAGAAGAUAGCAGAUAUCAAGAUUUAGAUAGCUGGUAUCUUUCUUUCUUGCCUGCAACAACCUCGGAUGGCUCUCGUGAGGUGCCUCGAUUGAUUUAUUCUUAUCGAAACGUUCUAACAGGUUUUGCAGCUAAGUUAUCUCCAGAUGAUCUCAAGGAAAUGGAGAAAAAGGAAGGAUUUAUUUCUGCCCGUCCCGAAAAGCAACUUGAUUUAUACACCACACAUAGUCUCAAUUUCUUGGGGUUGCACCAGAACAUGGGGUUCUGGAAUGACUCAAAUUAUGGACAAGGUGUGAUCAUUGUUGUCAUUGACACUGGAAUUUUCCCGGACCACCCUUCGUUUAGCGACAGUGGGAUGCCCCCACCCCCUGCUAAAUGGAAGGGUAAGUGUGAAUUUAAUGUUACAAAGUGUAACAACAAGCUCAUUGGAGCAAGGUACUUCGAGUCCUCGGGGAACGGGUCACCAUGGGACGAAAAUGGACAUGGUACGCACACUGCUAGCACGGCUGCUGGAAAUUUCGUGCCAGGUGCUAAUAUAUUUGGCAACGCUAAUGGCACUGCAGCAGGCGUUGCACCUCUAGCUCAUGUUGCCAUUUGCUAAUGGAACUGCAGCAGGCGUUGCACCUCUAGCUCAUGUUGCCAUUUACAAAGUGUGCUCAGGUAUCACUUGUUCUGAAAGUGACACUUUAGCUGCAAUGGAUAUGGCUAUUGAAGAUGGUGUCGAUGUGCUUUCGCUUUCCCUUGGUAGACUUACUAAUAAUUUCUAUUCUGACAACAUAGCACUUGGUGCGUUUAGUGCAACGGAAAAGGGAAUCUUUGUCAGUUGUGCUGCUGGAAAUUCAGGACCAUCCAGUUUUUCAACGGCUAAUGAAGCGCCCUGGAUUUUAACAGUUGGUGCAAGUACGAUAGACAGGAAAAUUAAGGCUACUGCUGUGCUUGGAAACGAUGAAGAAUUCGAUGGAGAAUCAGCUUUUCAACCUAGUGACUUUCCUCCAACACUGUUGCCUCUUGCCUAUCCUGGAAGCAAUGCUAGUGACGCUGAUGCUAAGUAUUGUACCCCUGCUUCGCUGAACAACACGAAUGUCAUGGGAAAGAUAGUGUUGUGUGAGGUUGGUAUAAUAACGCGAGUUGACAAAGGAAAAGCAGUGAAGGCAGCUGGUGGUGCAGCCAUGAUUCUUAUGAAUACAGAAAUCCUGGCUAACACAACAUUUGCCGAGGCACAUGUCCUUCCAGUGACACACGUUAGCUAUGCAGAUGGUCUAAAAAUCAAAGAAUAUAUAAACUCAACAUUAAUCCCUACUGCAACAAUAGUAUUCAAGGGAACUAUAAUCGGAGAUGAUCGUGCUCCAGUGGUUGCUGGAUUCUCUUCCAGGGGUCCAAAUUUUGCAAGUCCUGGAAUUCUAAAACCGGACAUUAUUGGUCCUGGUGUUAACAUCCUAGCAGCUUGGCAUAGUUCCCUAGAAAAUAACAUAAACACGGACUCUUAUUUCAACAUGAUUUCAGGUACCUCAAUGUCUUGUCCUCAUCUCAGUGGUGUUGCAGCACUGCUAAAAAGUGUGCACCCUGAUUGGUCUCCUGCUGCAAUUAAGUCAGCAAUUAUGACAACAGCUGAUAUCUUAAACCUCGGAUUGGACUUCAUCGAGGAUCAAACAUACAAUCCAGCUACUGUCUUGGCCACGAAACACGAACUCUAAUUUCAACAUGAUUUCAGGUACCUCAAUGUCUUGUCCUCAUCUCAGCGGCGUUGCAGCGCUGCUAAAAAGUAGUCACUCUGAUUGGUCUCCAGCUGCAGUUAAAUCAGCAAUUAUGACAACAGCCGAUGUCUUAAACCUUGGAUUGAGCUCCAUCGAGGAUCAAACGUACCUUCCAGCUAGUGUCUUCGCCACAGGUGCAGGGCACGUAAAUCCAUCAAAAGCAAAUGAUCCCGGCCUGAUAUAUGACAUUGAACCAGCCGAUUAUGUAGCUUAUCUAUGUGGCCUAAAUUACACAGAUAGACAAGUUGGGAUCUUUUUGCAGCGCAAAGUUAAAUGUUCAGAAAUAACUAGCAUCUUAGAAGGUCAACUAAAUUAUCCAUCAUUUUCAAUCCAAGUCCGAAGCAACUCAACAGCACAAACAUAUUCAAGAAAUGUGACGAAUGUAGGUCAAGCCAACUCAACAUACAAUAUUGAAAUUGAUUCACCACCGGGUGUUGAUGUGAAAGUUGAGCCAACUACACUCAUAUUUUCAGAAGUGAACCAAAAGUUGAGCUAUCAAGUGACAUUUACACCUUUGGCUACACGACCAAGUACCAGUUUUAAUCAGGGAUCUCUCAGAUGGAUUUCUGAAAAGCAUAUUGUUAGGAGUCCAAUUGCUGUUCGGUUUUUCAUUUUUUAAAUAAACAAAUGAAGGAAACGAUCUCAGUGACAGGCAGAUCAAGAUUUUUCGUUUAUAAAAUAAAACCAUAUAUCAAGUUGUUAGCUUGGUUUAUAUUCCGUGUAUUUACUCAUGUAUCUUACAAUGUAAAUAUACCAAAUAUUUAUCAAUAAAGAUUUAUUAAGAAGCUCGAAGCUCAUAUUUUCAAACUCUCUUGAGAAUCUUAGUCAGAAAUUGACCAAUACUUUAAGUAUGGAGGAUGCUUACGCUAAAAAGCGGAAAAACAAAUGAAGGAGAAACAUGGAUGCGAAGACUUGUGCCGAGCAAUACGCAUGUACAUGUUAGAAUCGAAAUAAUUAGGUGUUAUGUGAAAGCUAGUAAAGUAAAUCUUCAAUGACGAUAAAUCACACAAUACGAGAAAAAUAUAACAGAAGAGACACAAAUAUUUAACGAGGUUUGUGUAUGGGUCAAAAUCUGGCCAUACGUGGAUUAGCGCUAAAAGUAAUGGCAAGGGGCCGACUAAGCCAUGGUCGUAUCCACAAGGCAUCGUAACGACGAAUAUCUCCUUCAUCGUUGAGACCGAACUAUCAGAAAGCUUGUACGGCGAAAAUACAUCAUGUCACUUAAGGGGAACGGCCUAAAGUACAAUCAGCAAAUUAGGAUAUUCUGGCUAAGGACCGUCGGACUUAAGAAAAUACUUAAUAUAUAUAUAGGAGGUAAGAGAAUAAGAAAAGGGGACUUCCUCUCCUUCACAAAGAAAAGGCAGAAGAACCGGAAAAGGAGGCUCAAGAAGAACAAGUGAAGGCUCAGAUCUUGGAUACAAAUCUUUGUAAUCGUCAAUAUUGAAUCAAUAAAGAUAGAUCUCAUAGUUGUUAAUGGCAUUUCUUAUAUUCAUUUUUUAUUCUUACGUUAUGGAACAGUACGUCAAGAAUGUAUGCCUAUCAUUUGAUUUAGAGUUAAUUAUAUGGCUAGGAUUUAUUAUUUUCCUCAUUAACUAGUUUAACAAAAAGCGUAUCUUUUUUGGUCAAACAGUUCGGUCAAUUGAACUACGUCCAAAGGCGGAGAUAAAAAUUCACUAUAUAAAAGAGAAUACAAAAUAUCUAGAGAUUAAAAUUACAUUUCUUUUUAUAAAAAGAAAUAUAUAUCAAUUAUGAUAAAUAUGUUAUCCUUCCUCAAGAAUAGACACUCAAUUAUAAUAAAAAUAAAUUAGGAUAAACACCUAAUAUAAAUAAUAAUAAUAAUAAUAAUAAUAAUAAUAAUAAUAAUAUUAAUAUGAAAGAAUGUAAAAGUUGACAUUGGAAAUGUGCAAGACAAGAUACGCGUUACGUUUCAUCAAUUAAUACUUUUUAGUUGGCCCAAAAGCCAAUUUGACUUCUACAUUUGUGGUUUGCAACGAAGUUUCAGUUGGAACUGUAUUGGAUGUCUUAGUAUUAAUUGAUGUAGCGAUGUAAGUUUAGAGUUUAAAUAAGUUUUAGUUACUUUGAAGGACCGACUCUUUAAUCUUGAUCGUGCAAUCUAAAUCGCAAUGAAGGAUUAUUGUCAAUGCGGUUGGAGCCACUAGGUUGAUAUUUUACUUAUUUUAAAUAUAAAAAAAAUUUCAAAAAUUAUAUUCUAUAGCUACCCUUUAUUUUUAUAACCAAAUAUUUAUUUGUAAUAACCUCCUACCCUUAAGCCAUAAAAUAAACUUUGUAUUAUUUUCUCUCACCCAUCAAAUGCUAAUAACCACUAAACAUUUCUAUAAUCUAAUUGCACGUUCUCCUUCUCACCCCUUAAAACCUAGAGGCUUAGGGUUAGGGUUUCUCUCCAAUAUAGUUGAAGCUAGAGAAAGCAUAAGAACAUGGCAGCACCAACGGCGGCUCCGGCAGCGACAGAAUCAGUUGUUUCGGGCAGAAGAAGACGGCGGUAGCAGUAACCCAUUACAAGCGUGGGAAAGGCCUCAUCAAAAUCAACAGCGUUCUGAUCGAGUUAGUCCAGCCUGAAAUCCUCAAUUACAAAGCUUUCGAACCAAUUCUCCUCUUAGGCCAAGAGUAGACAAAGACAACGGAGUUGGGGGCUGAGCAACUUGAAUUUUCUACUAAUAUAUUUCAAUGUAUUUUGUUAUAUAUUUCAUUAUAUUCAUUGUCUCUUUUUCCAUUGUAUUUCAAUUUAUCUUGUUGUAUUAUAUGUAUUUCAUUGUAUUCAUUGUCUUUUUUCCAUUGUAUUUCGAUGUAUCCUACUAUAUUCUAUGUAUUUCAUUGUAUUUACUGUCUCGCUAUCUUCCAUGAAUAUAUUCAUAUAUUUUUUCAAUUAAUAUAAUUUAUAUCUUCAUAUGUAUUAUAUAAUUUCUCUGAGAAUUGCUAUAUUUUUGGGGUGUUUUUCAGUUGAGAAUUUUUUUGAUAAUUGGAAACAUAAAUUUUGUGUGUUAUAAUUGAGUUUGUUGAGUUAUAUUAGGAGUCUAUUAUGUUAAUGUAUUCACUCAAGCUGUAAUCCCAUGUUUCACGCCAUAAAUACAGUCGAAUACAAAAAUCUGUCUAACUGUAAUCACAUGAUUCAUGCCUAGAAAUGCUAUUAUAUUAUUCAUGAAUACAGUAGCUAUACAUCGAAUACACUCUAAAAAAUCUGAAAACAUAGUUAUAGGAAGUAAUAAUAAUUUCUCCUCCUCCUUCUCCUCCUCUGUUUUCUUCUUCUUCUUCUUCUUCUUCUUCUUCUUCUUCUUCUUCUUCUUCUUCUUCUUCUUCUUCUUCUACUACUACUACUACAAUAGUUGAAUAGCUAUCAUAAAUUUGUCUCAAUCAAACUGAAUUGGACAAGGUUUACAUGGUAUUAUAGUUUCUAGUGACUGAAUUGAGGGGUCUAUCACGAGAUCUACAGUGAGGAUCGAGGAAUUUCAGUCUAUGAAUUUAUCAAAUUAUUUAAAAAUAAAUUAUAAAUAAUUACAUAAGUUAGUAGACAAUGAUUUGUGAAUAUUUCCCUCAAAGUUAGUAGACAAUGAUAAUUCUGUUCUUUUCACGCUUAUCAUUUCCAAAAUUUAUGAUUUAGAUAUUGUUAGCAAUCUGAAUAUUUAUCUAGUAUGUGAGAAAGCUUUUUCAAAGCUUUUUCAAAAACUUCAGCAAAGCUUUGAAUUCAAAAACUUCAGCUUAUAUAGUGCUGACAUUUUUACAAAUGAAUAAAUAACUUCAACAUAUUCUGCUGAAGUUUUUGAACAAACUUUAUGACAAAACUAAUGAAUCCAGGACAAAAAAAAAAUUCAGCUUUUAGUGCUGAAGAUUUUACAAAUGAACUAAAUAACUUCAACAUCUUCGGCUGAAGUUUUUGAAAAAGCUUAUCUAGGACAAAAAAAACUCCAGCACUAAAUAAGUUGAAGUUUUUAUAAAUGAACUAAAUAACUUCAGCAUCUUUUGCUGAAGUUUUUGAAAAGGCUUAAUGACAAAUCUAAUGAAUCCAUGACAAAAAAACUUCAGCUUAUUUAGUGCAACUACAAACAAAAACUACAGCAAAUAAAGAACAAAACUUCGCCUAUGCUUAAGUUCAACAAUUACAGACAAAAACUUUCAGCAAAUAGAGCACAAAACAGAUAUUAUGCUUAAGUUCAACAAUUACAAACAAAAACUUCAGCAAAUAGAGAACAAAACUUCAGCUACUAUGCUUUAGUUCAACAAUUUCAAACAAAAACUUCAGCAAAUAGAGAGCAAAACUUCAGCUACUAUGCUUAAGUUCAGCAAUUACAAAUAAAAACUUCACACUUGGUUUAGCAUGCUUGCUACUUCAGGCAUGUCUACUAGAAUAUUGAAGUUUUGCGUAAUUGCAUUUGUUACUUCAGUCCUAUAUGCUGAAGUUAGUCGAAAAAGUGGGUAUGCUUGUAAUUUUUUCUAUGCAAAGUGAGUACAAAUUAAAACGUAACAUUAAAACGAAUAUAGAUGCAAAUGUCCCGUACCAAACCGUACACAUGAUUAAUGUCUUUACCAUAGGCGCGGGCCUUGUCGACCUGUCAAAAGCAAUUGAUCCCCGAGUUAUAUAUGACAUAAUCCAACGGAUUAUGGGCAUCAUCUGUAUGGUUCAAAACUUCAAAUUACGCAUAUCGGCAGAUUGAGAAGGUGGUGAAGCCUUAGUUAUUAACUACAGAAGAUACACGUAUUCAAGAAGCACAAACAGGUUACAUUUUUAAUAAUAAAGUAGGCGUAUAUUCUGGGCCUGGCCCAGGCUUUGGUGAUCCUGAGCCAAAUGGUCCCGGUCUUCGCGGUCCUAAUGGAUGAAAGCGGUUCGUCAUGGACCUAAGUCCACAUGGUCCCGGGCUUAAUGGGCUGGGCCUAACAGGCUUUUUUUGUUUUGGAUUUUUUUCUACGACAAUUUCUUGGAAAGUAUAUAUGUAUAUACUAAUAUAAAUUGCUUAUAUAUAGCUAUAUAAAUAUAUAUAGUAUAUAUAGUAUAUAUAGUAUGUAUAUAUAAGGUAAGGGUGUAUUGUGUAUACAUAUAAUUAUAUAUUAUAUUAUAUAUAAUAUAUAGCAUUAUAGCCUAUAUAUACAUAUUGCCUUUUAUAUAUGUAAAUGUGUGUGUGUGUAUGUAUAUAUAUCAGAGUCACUUUAGUAAAAACCUGAGAAACUAAGUUUAACACUAUUUAUCUAAUGAAUAUGAUUAGGAAGAAAACUACUAUUAAAAACAAUAGGAAAGAAGAAUAUGAUUUGCCAUAGCAAUUAGAUCUACUUAAUAAGUGGACUAUACCCUUAGUCAAACCUAAGGUAAUAUACCAGUUGGGAACCUUUGAUAUAUAUAUAUACCAUUAAUUUGGACUGGAUCGCUUCCGAAUGAGGUUCAUGAAGAAUUACAAGAACUCCAUUCGAGACAGAUUACCAACCUUUAGGUAAAUCUCAAACCACGAUGCUCUUCUCAACUCUUCAACAUGGUCAUCAGCCUAAAUGAGUUUAAGAGCACCACCGAUUAGGAUAUCCUAACCAAGAUUUACUGUCGAGGUUAGAAACUGCCCGUCUAUAUAGUUCUUAACCUAACACUUUUAUCGGGGAGUAUACAGUUCAUUUUAAGCAACAAAGCAUGUUUUGUAAAUAACCUUUGAAUACUAAGCUUAACACUUACUUAUUUAGCCUAUCAUUUAGGCUAAUAGUGCUACAAAUAUUGUAAAUAAAGAGAGAGAAUAGAUCAGUACCCGAGACCGGCUGUUUGUGGCCAAGUGACCUUUUUUAUUUUUAUUUCCGAAUUCAAAAUACUACCAAAUUACAAAAGGAUUUUUAUAAGGAUAGAGAAGGCUAGAGAGAUGUUCCGAACUUUGGCUAAUGUCUGUCUUCUCCUAAACUAAGUUGAUCCUUAUAUAAUGGAUCGAUUCACUACUAAACAAAUAAAGUUAGCCGACAAAAUAAUUUACAAUAGUGUCCUACAAAGAAAAUUAUUACAAACGGACAAUAUACAUUAUAAAAGUAGAUUCCUCAUAAUGGAGGGGUCCGUCUCUUUAUUAAAUUUUUUUAACUUAUUACCCCUAUGAUUGUCCAAUAGGGCCUUCAAUAAUUUAAGCUUUGUCCUUUCCUUUUUUGUCUUUUUUCUCCGAAGAUCAAUCGGUAUUUUCCUUCAAUUUUGCAAGAAAAUCCUCUAUCUCUUCAAUAUUAAAUUUUUGUUCCGGAGGUACUUUGAGCUUCCUGCUGCACAUAUGUCUUCACAGAAGUGUUACCUAUAGAGGCCAUUGAUAUAUCAUCACUGACUCCUGUUUCGAAAUUUUUGCUAAGUCUUUCUUUAUUUCCUCAAAAUAUGAAGCGAGGAUUUCUUUCCCAGAUAUGGCUCCUUUCUUCAUUUGAAGACUUUUAGUAAUUACCUCAAAUGGGCUUAUUUUGUCCUUUGCAAUAUUUGCUUUGUGUAAUUUCACAUAUGUUUCUAUCUUGGUUUGAAUCUGUUGAAUUAAUACGUCACCAAAUAGUUUGCCUUGGGUGUCUUUUUGGAGUAAUUUUGUGCAAAAUUUAUUAUAAAAAAUGCUAUAAAGGCAAGGUAUUCCUUCAUCGGUAUAACGAGUUUGGACAUCCCAUUUCAUUAUCUAUGGAAUUGAAAAUUCUAUGAAAAAAUAUAUUGAUGCACUACCAUCACAAAAGAUAUUAUCUUUUUGUAAUGAAAUAAUUUUGGGAGAUAUGUCUACCCACUAAGUAUAUAAAGUUUUAAAUAAAGGAGAGAGUAUUUCCAAUGAUGGACCACAUAAUUUCCACCAUUUAAAAAAUCUAUUUGGAAUAUGUUGAUUAUCCAUAUUGGAACAGAGUUUAAUAAACCAUGAGGGUUUCCUAGUAGGAUUCUCAUAGAGAAAAGUUUUAUUAAAACUUUCCAUAAAGUCCCAAUAAUUGAAUUUCACUGAGACUUUUUUAUCAGGAUGAGUGUAUUCUCGAUCCUUUAGGGUACUCAUUCCUCAUUCAUCCGAAGGUAUAACCUUUUUGAUAAUGAUUUUUGAAAAAUUAUAAAUUUUUCUUGUAUUUCCAGGAUAGAAGUGCUGAAUUUCAGUUGAUCCUAUUGUGGAGAGUAUCAUAGCAUAAUGCAUCAUCUAUUUAUAAGAAGGAGUAGCGUAUGGCGCUGUAUCAAAAUACCUGGUCAUCAGUUUCCAGGGGUUAUCCUUCCAUUUAAGGUCGGAUUUUUCCAAGAGAAUUAUUAACUCUUUUGUUUCUUUUUUGGUUAUAAACCUCAAGUUUUUCAUUAUUGUCCUCUAUUAUAACUGAGGAAUAAGAUGGUGUGCUCGAUGAUGUAUAUUCAUUCAUUUUGGAUUGUAUGAAAUCCAAAAAUUCCUUGUAUAAAAGGUAAUCGGUAUUACCUCCUGCUAUAUUAGCAGCUAUUAAUCUUUGAUUUCCCAUUUGAGCUAGAAUAUUAUUCUCUCUACUAAUAUUAAAAGCCCUUCCUCUUCCUCAACACCGAGAAGGCUUGUAUUUAGGUCUCAUAAUCUAUAAAAUCAAAACGUUAGUUAAGAAAUACAUUUUGAAUAAAAUUACUAAUAGAUUCAUCAUCAUGAUUGGAAAAUUGCUCUUCCACAAUCUCAUAUAUAAUUUUAUCAAUUAUAAGACUUUUUAAGUCUCUGCAUAAUUCAACCACUUUCAAAAUAGUGAUUAAUAUUUCUUCAUCAAAAAAUAUCAUGUAAUAUCUCAUGAUUAAAGUAUAUUGACGAGAGAACUUAUAAGUUCAAAUAUUCUCUUGUAAGAAAAUCAGGAAGGGUGUUAUCAGACCAUUUUUUAUAAAUUAUGUCAAAAUCAAAAGGGGCUAACAAGCCUUGCCAUCUUGCAAACAUUUGCUUAGAAACAUCAUGCUUAAAAUCUUUAUUAAAGAUACACUUUGCAGCUUGCUAAUCAGUCUUAAUAAGAAAUUUUUGAUUAUGUAAAUUAGUUUGAAAUUUCAUAACACAUUUGACAAUAGCAAGAAUUUCUUCGGCUAUAGUGGCAUAAUUUUUUUGGCCGUUAUUCCAUUUACCAUAAUAGAACUGGACCAUAUAUUCUUGUUUAUCUUAUGGCGAAUAUUGUUUUAAAAUUCCGCCAUAACUAAUAUCAGAGGCAUCUGUCUCUAUUAUUUUUGCCCAAGUAGGAUUGGCUAGAGUUAAACAAGGGAGGUUAUGGACCUUUUGUUUAAUAUUUUUGACUGCUGCAGUAUGACUAUUAGUCCAUACUUUGGGAUUCUUUUUUAAUCUAUCAUAAAGAAGAACGGUGUUCUGGGCAAGGUCCUUUAUGAAAGGAGAAAUAUAAUUCGGACUUCCAAGAAAUCUCUGGAGUUGGGUUUUAUCAGUAAUUAUAUCAGGAAAUUUAGAAGCAAAUUUAAUACUUCUGUUGAUAGGAAUAAUCCUACCUUUUUCAAUGUUAUGACCUAAAAACCUAGCAGAAGUUUGAAAAAUCAUCAUUUUGGUUUUGAUAUGAUUAAACCAUUUUGGAUAAUAAUUUUUCUAAAUAAAUCUAAAUGUUUAAAAUAAGAUUCUAUAUUUUUUGAAAAUACUAGAAUAUCAUCAAUAUAAACAAUUAUGAAAUCCGUGUAAGGAAGAAAAACAUCAUUCAUAAUUUUUUGAAAUUCAGAAAGGGCAUUUUUUAAGCCAAAAGGCAUAACAUUUCAUUCAUAUUGGCCCAUUGGCACAUUAAAUGCAGUUUUAUAUCUAUCCGAUUCAGAUAUCUAAAUUUGUCAAUAACCUAAUUUUAAAUCAAAUUUUGAAAAUAUGAUGGCAUCAUGUAACCUAUCUAAUAAAUCCUUCUUAUUCGGGAUUGGAUACCUAAUCCAUUUUAAAACCUUAUUUAAGGGUUUGUAGUUUAUGACUAAUCUAGGAACUCCACAUUCCUGUUCAACAUACAUAUUGACAUAAAAAACAGUGCAUGACCAUUUAGAUUUUAAGGGUCUUAUUAAACAUUAUGCUGUAAAGAGCCAAUCUCCUUUUUGCAUAAUUCCAAAUAUUAGAAUUCAUUUGGCAAUGACGGGUCUUGGUAGGGAUAUGAUCCUCAGAGAAGUCUUCUUCAUAAGGAAGACUUAUGAUAUGCUUUUUUUUACCCCAAAAUUGAUUCGGAUGAUCACCACAAAUAGAAGUAGAAAAUUGAUUUUUAAGAGAAUUAACUUUUCUACUAAUUUCGGAUUUUUUAAAUCCUGUUCAAUAGUAAUAGAAUAAAUUUCAUUCUUUAAAAAUUCAAUUUGAUUUGCUUUAGAAGAAAUAUUACUAGAAAUGAUUUCAUUUAGAAAUCGUUGGACAGGCUGAGUUAUAAAUUCAAAAGUGAUGUGCUUACCAUCGUAAGUACCGGUAAAGCUUUUUGUAUCUUAAUAUAAAAAAGGCAUCAAUUUAAUAAAAUGGGACACUUAAUAUUACAUCCUUGUCAAUAUCUUUUGCUAAAACAAAACUUUUUGGAAUACAGAUAUCAUGUUGGCAAAUGUAAGCUUUAGAUAAUUUAUAUGAAAUACCCAUUGAAUUACCACUGGCAUUUUUAAGCGGAGUGGUUUUAUGAAAAUAUCUGGAGGGUAUUACUCCUUCUUUUAUACAAUUUAAAUCUGCUCCAUUGUCAAAUAAAGCAACAAACUCUUUUUUAAAAUUGUAGUUUAUUAAAAGAGUUAUUUUUAUCAAAAAAAUUGAGUGAUAAAAUAUUGGAGUUUUCCUAUAAAUUCUCCUUCAAAAAAAUCUAUGGCUCCAAGCAACUUAUUAGCUGUAUUUUCUUCAGAAGGUUAACUCAGCAAUCUUAAUAUUAGGAUUAUCAAUUAUCUUAGAAUUUUCCAAUCUGAAAAUUCAUCCAUACAAGGCAAUAUUUGAAGCCUUUAGUUCGAGAUUUCUUUCUUGAGAUAACUUAUCUCGGUGCUUAAAUCUUGGACAGUAGCCAUUCUUUCAGGCCGUGAUUUGUUGUUCACCAUUUUUCUGAUUUCAGACAUAGUGUAAGGUCCUUUUUCAGAUGGGAUUUGUUCCACCUCUAUUUCUUCCUCUAGACUAGAAGGAAAUUUAUCAAUAAGCUGGGACCUUAAUUCAGGGUCUUUAAUAACCCUUAAAAGAUCAAGUAUGUUAUAAUUUGACAAAACAUUGAUUUUUAAAUCUCCAAAAUGAGUAUAAAUAUUAAAAAGCUCAUCAUCAGUAUUACAACAAUGAUUUGAGCAUUGUCCCUUAUCACAUUGCUCUGGCUCUUCUUCAGAAGAUUAAGUAUAACUUGCUUCAUGAAGAACACUGAGGUCUUCACUUGUUGAUGAUCCAUCUUCCUACUUGGCUCUUCUUCAGAAGAUGAAGUAUAACUUUCUUCAUAAAGAACCCUGAGGUCUUCACUUGUCGAUGAUCCAUCUUCCUCAGUGUCCGAUACUUCUGGAGAAGAAUUUAAAAGAAUCUUAUACAAAGAAUCUUUUAUAUGAUCAUCUAAGUCAAGUUCUUUGAUUUUAUCAUUGAUCUUACAAUUCUUAGCAAAUUGGCGUAAUCUUCCACACUUAUAACAAGCCUGAGGAUUUUUUGAUUUAACAAAACCCUUCCUGGCUUUAUGAAAAGCCUUUCUCCUUUGGGUUUUUUCACGCCUUUUUUCCGACGAACCCUUGAUUCUUUUGAAAUCCUUUUUCUUAUGGAAUCUCUUUCCAUUAGAAGGCAUAUCUAUAGCGAAUUGUUCAGAAAAUUCACCCAAUUGUUGUCUCUCGGUGAAACGAUGUUUCUUAAUUUAUUGGUUAAGCUUUAUUUCAUUACAUAAAGCUAAGUCUUCUUGAGUGCAUACACUAAUCAACUUAUCAUAUGAGUAGGUAUCAUAGUUGAUACUCAUCCCUGUACGUCUAAGGACCUUUCUAAUCUUUUCAGCAAAUAAUGGAGGGAGUCCAUCUAUAAAUUUGGACUUCCAAUGAGUACUAUUACUCUCUGGUACUUCCAUCACUCUGGAUAAGAAAACAUCUUUGUACCAUCGAAAUGAUGUGAGGGUUUUGCACCUCAAAUUCUGGAGCAUAGUUCUAAUGGUCUCACUAUUAUCAUACCAUCUUCCCCAAAAGUGUUUGAUGAUAUUUAGAAUUAAAGAAUAGACCGAGUUUUGAACAGUCUUAUCUUCCUCAACUUUGAUUACGUUCAUGAUUUGCUGACGUUAUUCAGGAGUGAGAUAAUUAUCCCACCAACCUUUAAGUUGGCCAGUAAAUCCAGCAAUAAUCAUUUCUGCUAUUGCUCUAUCUGUUUUUUUAUUAACCUUACAGAUAGUACUGUACAUAAGCAUUUUAUGUACUGUCGUAUAGAUUUGUCUUUCAGCAAGACCAUCUAUAUUCCAUUCAUAGAUAUCUGACUCACUGUAUCCCUGGUGGUAGUGGUUGUUGUCACGUCUUCUAUUAAGACAUCCUGGGGGAUAGGUCUAGGGUAGUAAAACAUUCUUUGGUAGGUUUUUCGAGCAUAUUUUUCCCUGAUGGUAGUGGUCGUUGUCCUGUUCUUCUAUUAGGACAUCCUGGGUAGGUCAAGGGUAGUAAAACAUUCUUUGGUAGGGUUUUCGAGCAUAUUUUCAGAGAUCUUAUUAAUCUCAUCUUCUACCUGUAAUCCUUUACCUUUAUCAAGUUUAUGUUCUAUAGUUAAAGGACUUGCCCUAAACUCUCCAAACUUCCUAGUAAGAAGUUCUUCCAAAUCGUCAAGACUUUUUAAUUUAAAGUCUUUUACCUCAGGUGGAGGUUGAAUGCUGGUAGUAGCUAUUUGCUCUUUACCUUUAUCCUCCUUCUGUUGAAUAUUUUGGACCUCAGCUAUAAGCUUGUCCAAUUUGUCAUGUAUCGUAACAACCUGUUCUCCCAGAAUACUAAUAUACAUAUUAAUUACCUUUAUCAUCCUUCUGUUGAAUCUUUUGGACCUCGGCUAUAAUCUUGUCCAAUUUGUCAUGUAUCGUAACAAAUUGUUCUCCCAGAAUACUAAUAUACAUAUUAGUAUAAUUAUUCUGAGUGAGCAUCGUAUUCAAGUUUUUAGUUGUAAUAGAAUCCACAUCGUUUUCAAGCAAUUUUGAAAAAGCAGUAAAAUAUACAAUCUUAUCUAUUUCUCCCAUCUGAAAAAAUUGUUGGGGUGGAAAGACUGAUUUCGUUAUUUUCCCAUUCGUGAGAAUAUAAUAUCUUUCUAACACAGAAACAUAGUUAUAAACAUGUUUAGACAUAAACCAGAGAACGAAAGCAAUAAUCUUAUUUUUCUUGCUAAUAUCUUGAAAAAAAUCAUUUCUAAAAAAUUGUAUCAAUUCAUUAGUCAUGUUUUCAUGAAACCAUUUUCCGAAAACAGCCCAUCUGGGUGUUAGAAAUUCUUCUAGAAUCAUUUUCCUUGUCGAUGAACCCGGACUAAAGUCUAUUUGGUUUUCAACCAUCAUUAACACCAUUUGAAAAAUCCAUUUCGGAUGCAGUGGGUUCAAGAUCUGAAUUAAUCUUGACUAUAUUAUCACUAUUGAUACUGAUAUUAUUAAUCUUAUUAUUUUCUCUAAUUUGGGAUGUGGAAGCUCUAGAUGAAAAGCCUACCACAUAAUAAAUUGGAGAGAUAUAUGAAGAGUUUGAUCAGGUUAACUUAGAUGAUAAACUUAUAUUAUCAGUUUGGAUAGGUUCAUUAAACCUAAUCUUAAUUGUGCCACCUGAGGUUUGUUCUAUUUUUGUAACCUCAGUAUUACCAUUGUUUCGAGUAGCAACUGCUUCCUCUAUGACCCAUUCCCUGGAAAAAUCAAUUUCAUCUCAUUUGAUAGGUCUCCUGGUAGUUACUUUGGAUUUUCCAAAGUUGGUUUCUAUAAGAAUUGUUUCAUUUUUUAAAUCCAUAAUUCUACACAUAGGAUUCAAAGUAUAUAAAGGAUUGAAAUAAAUUCUAUAACAUAUACAUAUUACUUAUGUACCAGGCAAAUAAUCAUAACCAUGUAAUUUAAUGCUUAGUAUUAAAGCAUUUAAAUGUAUAUGUGUGUGUGUGUGUGUGUCUAUAUAUAUAUAUAUAUGUGUGUGUGUGUGUGAGUGUGUGUGUGUGUGUGUUUAUUAUUACGACAUUAACGAAGAAUGACAAUAUAUUUAUUAGUCUUCCUUCCCUUGGAAUGAGCACAACAAGGUACUAAUAUCACCAUUAAAAGAAAAAAACAAAGGAAGAUGUUCCAAAAUACAAGUUAUAUAUUAGUCUAUGUAUUAUCUCUAACAAAUCUCAUAAAUUCUUCAAGGUUCAGAGGAAUUUUCGUUGGUGAUGGUGGAAAACAGGCUUAUUCAUCACCGCUUCCGCGCGAAGCAGCUUCCUGUGCAAGUUCCGCUAGCAUUUAUUCAUAUACUUUGUCUAUCUCUGGUUGAGAUUCUGCAAGUCCCAAAUUUCCUCUUUCCGGACAAAUCCAAUCUCUGAAGAGUAUCAAUUUUUCCAAGCUCUCCCUCAUAGACGCUCUAUGAUCACCAAUUUGAUGUCUCGCUUGACAAAAAGCGCUCUCUGAUGUGUUGUUGAAGCUUGAACACUCAAAAUAUCUCGAGUCAUCCUUGAAAGAACCGGAUAUUAUUUUUGUUUUUCCUUCCACCAUUCCAAAAGAUUAAAGGUGUCGUCUACAUUCUCCUUUUCAAGGUCCUGCGACAAACAAACUUGAAGCUUAUUUAGUUGUGAACUAUCACCAAAAUUAUCACCUUGAGAACCCCUGAACUCCGUCCAAGAACUCGACAAAUAAACUUGAAGCUCUAGUUCGAAUUAUCACCAAAAUUAUCAACUUGAGAAUCCCUGAACUCUGUCCAAGAACGAAGGGAUUUUAGGCCCGCAGUUCUUAGAUGAUUGUGAACUAGACGAAGUAGGAGUUGGAUCUAGCAUGAUCUACAGCAACUUGAUAAGCAUUAUAAAUUGUUUAAGCAUUUAUUUUAAUUGAGGCUUUUGCAUCCCCAAGUGUAGCAAAUUCCCCAGGUGAAAGUGGUAAAGCGUUAUAAAUUUUUGAAUACCGAAAGUGAGGACCUCAUAAUUUCAUUGUAGGAUUUAACACUACAGCAACACCAAAAAUAGGGGAAAUAAGGAAAAAAUAUUUUUUAAACUUAGCUUUCAUAGAAUUAAUAGCUUCUUGAUAAUUAUCUCCACCCUCUGAAAUGUUGUAAAUAAAUCUACAAGUGCUGCAAUCUAAAUUAAACAGUUAGAAAUAGUAGGAUAACAUUGGCUAGAUAAUUCAUUUGUAGCAAUAUGAAAUUGUUCUAAAAAGUCUACAACAACAGCUACCCAGUAUAGUCCCACAAAGUGGGGUCUGGGGAGUAUAAUAUGUAGACGAGCCUUACCCCUACCCGAAAGGGCAGAGAGGCUGUCUCCAAUCGACCCUCGGCUCACUGAAGGAAAGGAACAACAAAAACAAAACAACAAAGAGCAUUAGUUACUUUAGAGGUUGUUUCCAAUCGACCCUCGACUCAGUGAAGGAAAGUAAAAACAAAAACAAAAACAAAAGAGCAUUAGUAUGUCCAGCAGAAAUAACGUAAAUAAUUAUCUAAACAUAAGAACCGUAAAACAUAAUUGUUCUAAAAAGUCUACAAGCAUUUUAACAUUACUCCAAUCUUGAUUUUUAAGGUACUCAUCAUCAUCACCAUCACCAUCACCUACGCGAGCAUGAUACAUUGCGCUUAUUGGGUUUCUAUAUUCAUAUGCAAUAAUUAAACUUUCAUACGUGUAAUUCUAUCUAGUCGGACAAGGUUUAGAAACCUUUCUUUCUCUAAGGCCAAACUCAUCACAUUUUUUAAAACAUUCUCUAAGCUUACUUCUAUGGUUUGAAUAAAAGGCCAAUUAAGAGUCAUUUCAACCUUUUCGAUUUCUGUAUUUAAAACUUUCAUACCAGCACCGAUAAUUAAAUGGUAAAUAUGACAAAUACAUUUAACAUGAAAAAUAUUACUAAAUGCAGGAUUUAGUGUGGUUAUAAGAAAGCCUACAUCGUUAGUGUUACUAGAAGCAUUAUCCAUUGAAACCGACAUAAUUUUGUCUCUAAGGCAAAAAUAUCUACAAAUAUCUGCAACUUUGUUAGAAAAAAACUUAUCUGUGUGGCGUGAAUUAAUUAUUCUAUAAGCAAUAAUGCACUUUUGCAUUAUCCACUCCUCAUCUAUCCAGUGACUUGUAGUAGUUAGAUAAUCAUAAUCAUUACCACUUCUACCAAUAUCAGUAGUAAUAGCAAUGCGACAAUCUAUAUAGGUAAAUAAAUAGCACAAAUAUUAUUCAUAUUCAUGUUUAUAUUUGUAAAUAUCGCUCUUUACAAUUGCGCGAGGCCAUCCUUUAUAAGUAGGAUUAAAAACUCUUCUAAUAUAAUGCACAAAAUGAGGGUUAGAAGGAAAACUAUAGGAUAAGCACAUAACAGUAACCAUUUUUGCCAAUUCUUCACGAUCUUUAUUUGGAUCAUAAUAUAAAAUGCCACCGAUAACAGUGUUAAUUCCCGUUUGAACUACAUUUGAACAUGUAUUAGGGUUAACCGCAGUAUCUAAACGCCUCCCCUCUUGUGCAGCUUUCGUUUGAAAAAAUUUAGCUUUAUCUCUAAGGUGUUUCUUUAUGUGUCUAGUCAAACUACCCAUAUCGCUACGGUCUUCAGUAAAUUUAUGAACCAACAAAGCCCCACAUGUUUUACACUUAGCCUUAUUUUAUUCUCUUUGAUGAGUAAAAAAGUGUCAAACAAGAGAUGUUUCGGGCCGUUUAGAAGGUUAUCUAUUAAAAGUAGGGGUUACUACAAAAGGGUCAGGCGGGACAUCGGUUGGGUUAUUAACAUGACUAGUAGUUAUAUCAUCUAAAUCCGAUUACGUUUCAUCUAAAUCAUCAUUUUCCUCAUCAUUUUCCAAGAUAAUUUUAUUAGGAUAAAGAGCAUUUAUAACUUCCUCAUUUAAUUGUUGACUUGGUGCAACAUCUUGACAAAAUUAACUAUCAAAAAAUUAAAAACAAAGGUUAUCACUAUCAAGAAUAACAUGUGGAGGAGGACAAGUAACAGGUCUAGGUCAGGGAGCCAAGGGAAGAGUAAUAUCUUAGCGACGUAGAUUCACCAAUUUUAGCUUUUUCCUUAUCACCAAAUAUUUUUUUCAACGAAAAUGUCAUAUUAAUUAUAAUUAUACAAGCUAAAAAAAUAAAAAUAUAAUAUUAAACUUAAGAGUUGGAACGAGUUUAUCGAAUUCACGAAUAACUUCUUAAAAAUUGAAUAUCGUUGAAGACUUGAAGACUUGAAUACUUCAAUUCACUAACUUCACAAUUUUUCACGAAAUUACAAUAAUAAAGUAAGCAAUUAUAGAAGAAAAUUAGAGAGAGAUUGAGAGAGCUUGAUGAAUUUGUGAGUAAAAAUGAAAUAAAGAGGGGAUAUUUAUAGUUGAGAAUUGAAAAAAAUGGAAUAUAAAAAAUUUGAAGUUUAAAAAAUAUUUGGGGGCCAAAUGGCUAUUUUUUAAACUCCCUAACGGUUGAAUUGAAGACCCAACAGCUAGAUUUUAAAAAUCUAACUGUUGGCCAAUUUUUUAAAAAAUUAAAAAUAGCGAUUGGAGGCCCGUUAGGCCCGUUGGGCCCGCUUGAACCGGCCCAGGCCCGCCUCCCGGUCCCGGGCUCGCGGGUUAUCUGGUUAGGACCGUCCCCUCAUGGUCCUUUGCACCAUGUGAGAUCGGGACCACUUGAGACCGGCCCGUUUGGCCCACGGUUUCGGGCCGGUUGCAGGCUCAGCCCGACCUGCAAUAUACCCUUAUAAUAUAGUUGUUUUUUAAAAAAAAACUCCCCUCCAAAAUUUUAGUAACUAUUUCAAUUUGUUGAUUUGAUAGACUUGUGCAAGUACAUGAAAAUCAGAAGAGACUAGAGAGAGGUUGAGUUCUUAAGUUUAAGGAAUUUCAUGUGAGGAACUCGUCAUCUGCCUAAGUAGUACCCCUCUAAAUUUUAAGGAUCCUCAAUUUAGAAAGUGGAGAGUGCGUGAUAAUAAUAUUUUCUCAAGAAUCAUCUCAUAUACAAUAAUAACAAAGCAGGACUUACUGACGGAUCUAGUAUUUUAAAGUUAUAGGUAUGCGUCGAUAAAUAUUUCACAAGUAUAAGAAAAAAAUUUACUUGCGGGUGCUCACUUAAUAUUUAUCUAAAUAUUUGUAUAAUUGCCUAUGUGAAUUUACUAAAUAUGGUCAAAGUUAAUGGGUGCUUAAGCACCCACAAGUAUCCAUGUGCAUUUGCAACUGACGGGACCCCAUAUGAGGGUAAUUAUGAUAUCUCAAGAUCUCCCCUUAAUUUGACACUUUUUAUUUUGAGUUACGUAUGAAUUAGGCAUAAUACAUGGGGAGACACUUAAAGCUCAUAUCACUUUUUAUUUAGACACCUAAAUUGAAGGUUGUUCCUAUUGGGAUACUAUACUAAACUUGUUAUAAUUAGGUACUUUUUUUUAUAAUUAGUCAAACUUACAACGUGUAUGCAAUGCAUUCGCGGCUGAAGUGGCGAAUGACAAAUAAAAAGAGGACAUAUCAUUCUGAGUUUAAAAAAAACUAUGUUAAAAUCUAUUUAGUAUACAAAAUAAAAUAAUAGUCUCAAAAAGAAAAGAAAAAAACUUCAAUUUGCACCAAUCAGAAAAUGACACAUUAUUAACAAAAGAAAAGACCAAAAAGGACACAUUGGUGUUCUUGAAAUCAUUGUUAUUGGUGUUCUUCACUGUGUUCAUGUCUAUUCUUGUUCCAUCUAUGAUUUUAAUCCAAAAUUUCAAGAGAAACUCCUCCAAAUAUCUUAUAACUUCAAUUAAAGAUUCCCUACCAAGACUCAAAGACAACCCCAAUAUUAAUUUUUUUAAUUUUCAUCAAAUCAAAUAACUCAUUUUAAACCUUUAAGCUUUCUUAAAACCCCUGUUUUGACUUCAAAUAAAGAAUACAAUCCUAUUUUAUUUCAAUAAACUGAGGCGAUUGUUGGUUCAAACUUUCGAGGUAAAUUAAUGGUUGAGGCACAACAAUGGUGAAAGUGAGGGAGACAAUGGUGGAAGUGAUGAUGGAGAGAAAAUUGUUUACCUUGAAAAUGGUAAUUACAAUUGAAUUUAAUUAUAUGGUUCUAAAACUAUGUGAUCUAUUUAUAUGCUAGUUGUUAGGCAAUAGAUUCUAAGUUAGAGAUUAGAAAAUAAGAUAACAACCUGUAGAUAAUGUAACAAUCAAACCGAAUGGGUAGAUAUCGGGGUCUCGAGCUUGCGUACACGGGGCCUCGGAGUUGAAUCGGAUGCUUGGUCGAGGGUAGUCAAUGGAGGAUUAACAAUUAAUAUAGCUUUGAUGGAAGCCUUUUAUGACCAAUAAUGAGCAAUAAAUGAAGAACAAUGAAUAGACACAAUGAAUGUAAGCAAUAAAUGUAACUAAUGAGAUAAAGAAAAUAUGUUAAGUGAGAGAGAAUGUUCUUGUAUAUUCAAUGUAGAGUGUUUAAUGAUUUAUAAAAUGACAAGGAUACCCUUUAUAUAUGAGGGGGAAUUCCAACAUAGUACAAGUAUAUUUAUUAAAAAGAUAUGGAGCUGGUACAGCUAUUUAAUGAUAUGAUACGGGUUUGGACUAGCCUAAUAGACCUUGUCAGCUUUAGCCACAUGCCUUGGUAACCUCUCCCAAGUGCAUAGUAGCAACUGGUUUACACUGCCUCGAGGUCGAUCAUUGAGAUUCUUCGGGCCGAAUUUUUUAUUGAAUGUCUAGCCUUAUGGGGGAGGUCUUUAUGAGGUGCUUUAAUGAUCAUAAAAUCGGACCACCGAUUUUUGCCGUGUACAGAUAGUCCUUGCGUUUCCUAGAAUAAAAUGAUAGGAAACGGUUCUGAAUUCAUGCUCCUAUCAUGACAUCAGCCUAUCAAAGCAUUAAAUGUCGCAACUCAAUAGCCACACAAAAGUCGUUGUCAACACGACUAUCGAGAAGCCCACAAACCGCUAUUGGUUCAGCUUUUCCGCUGCCCAUGCGGCUCCUAUAAAUACCACCAAUUACUUUAUGAUUUUCACUUUUGCGAGAUCUUCAAAACUUUAGAGCCAAAUCCAUUUUCUCCUACAUCCUUCUUUCUUUCGUUCUUGGUUUCUUGCUUUCAUUUCCGAGAAAGAAAAACUUUUAAUCUCCAUGGCUAGAACCUCUGAGACAGUGCCUCGAAAUGGGGACGCUGCUUCUUUAUCUCGAACAUCUAAGGGUAAACCCAAUGUGGCCCUUACCGUUGAACAGAGUACACCUACCGAGUUUGAUAUUGUAAAUGAUUUUUCUAUUGAGAGACCUUCAUCCACGUCAUGUUGAUGUGAACAUGUGUCUCGGUAUAUUAGCGUUGUGAAGAAUGUAGAUAAAGUGCGGGCAGGUUGCACAUGGGAGAGCAUAAAGGACCAUAAGGCCGAUUUUCUUCAUGUAUAUAAAUACCCGUCACCUUGGUCCCUAAAUCCCUAUCGACUCCUCGAACCCUUAUUCUCUGGUAAUAGAUCUGGUAACUCUCGACUUCAAUCGUGAGUACUGGAUGACACUUGGCCAAAUUUAUCCCUCUUUCUGUAGGAUAGUUUACAUGCUUCCUUGUUUCUCCAACAAGGUUAUGGGUAUGACCUUUACCCUUGACUACUUGAUUAGACUGUAUAGCCCCCGUCUUUAUCAAGGUUUGAUUAAGUUUCACCCUCGAUCCGCGAAGAAUUUUUUCUCGAGCAUUGAUGAGAACAAGGAUUGAGGGUGGAUGAACAUGUUUGUUCAAGUAAGAACCUCGGACAUCAUCCCGGCCGAAAGGAUGUCAUUCCCGGUGGAGUGGAAUACAAAGCGUAAGUAUCUCUCCCUCGAACAAGCGUUACUGUCUUCUUAACUUCUUCUCAAAAAAUGAUCUCCCCUUCGUUUAUGCAGCUACCGUUUGGUAUCCUAAACCUGUCUAUGACAUGUCAGGGUGGAUUACGCAACUGGAUACAUCAUUCCCAUAUCUCGAGCGUUCUUGGACCGACUUGGCCAAAACACGAUGGCUGGCCAAGAACCACGGUAAGCAUUUCCGUGGUUGCCUCUACCAUGUUUUGAUUCCUCUUUUACAUUGACAAGUUUUGAUUAUUAUGCUUGUGAAAGCCUUAGCGAGGGAGUGCUGAUGAGACUGUCUCCCAACAGCGAGGAAGAGGCUCUGAAGCCCUAAUAAGGGCAAGAAAAGAAAGAAAAAUGCGGUUGUUGAGUCUCCUAUGGCAAAGAAGCCCAAGUCACACAGGCCUUGAGUUGCUUCCAAGGUCUCGACUUCAGCUUCUAGAGCAAGCCCUAGUACUGGAGAUGAAGACGACGAUGUGAUGAGUAUCAUUUGAUACAAAGGACGAGGUGGGGAGCUGAUGCCCCGCAGGUGGCUGGGACAAAGGCUGCCAAAUAGGGAACGAUCGAUUAAGGUAAAGUCCGUGUAGUGGAAACCCUCGAGGAAGGUACGAACACGGUCCCUAAGUUCCUGAACGGACGUGGUAUAGUCUAUGCCGAGGGAACCGUUGCUUCUGACUCCAAAGGGUCUGAGCUCAGAGCUUUUCGAGGACAGAAUUUGCCCUUUGGCGACAUAGAUGCCCUCAGUGGCCUUAAUUUGGGUCCUUGAUUCUCAACUAGGGAAUUUAGGGACGCACAGGACCCAAAGUUCACCAACGUGGGAGGCCUUCAAGAGGGGGAAGAUGGGCUUGAAAACCUCCUCGAUAGCGUUGGUAAAGACAUUGAUCUCGACGCUCCCAAUGCUAUCAAGGAGGCAGAAAGGCUUCAUUAGUAGGUGAUAACCUUUCUAUGUAUACCUUUAGUGAUUUAAGUAUUCCUCCCUAUUUUUUUGACUCUCUUUGCUUCGUUGUAGUCAAAGAAAAUGUAUGAUCACGCUAUCUCUAAGGUGCAAGAUGAGCAUAGGAAGGCGGUCGAGGAUCUCACCUCGGGGCUAAAGGAGUUGGAGACCUCUUCUGUCCGAAAGAAGGAGGAGCUGAGUGGGAUCCCGGCGAGGUUAGAAAGAGUGUGCCGAGAAAAAGAUAACCUUGUCGAGCAGGUAAUAUGGUAUCUGCAAACCUGCCCCUUGUCCUUAUAAUUUGGUGUCUCACCAGCUUUCUUCUCCCUUGCAGGUCAGGCAAAGAAUGCCCUCGUGGAGCAGCUUCGAGAGGAGGUAGGCGCUAAGGACGCAGAUGCCUCGAUCUAAGGAGGCAAAAUAGAGUCGUGGCCUGGGAGAGGGACCAUCUGCACACAAAGCUGUCUCGGCCCGGGAGCUUCUGCAAAGUGCCAAGGAGAAGGUUUCCACACUAUCGUCGGCUAAGUCUAUGGCAGAAGAAAAAGCAUCCUCGUAUAAGGACAAUGCCUCCACUGCAAAUGAGAAAUCUCGAGAGAUUUUAGCAAAGGGCAAGCAAAACUUGACUCGGGUCGUUGCUUAUGCUCGUGCAUAAGCGAAGAGGCAGUCUCUUGAGGAAGUGAGCAAUAAGGGCAUUGAUCUUUUUGCCGAGAUCGAGAAAGACCGAACCUUGGAGGAAAAAUCUACUCUUUCGGCCACUUCAGAUGAGGGCUAUGAUGAUGAUUCUGAGGGUAGCGGGGGUGAGGAGUAGAUUUAGUCAUCUCUUUUUCCCAUUUUGUAAAAGAGUUUCUUAGGGGAAGGGCUUUGUAAAUGCUCCCCUGCUGUAAAUGUGUUUUUGGAAACAUGACAAAUUUUCUGCUUCGAGGAUAUCACAUUCUAUGUUUUAAUAUUUUUGCCUUCGAAUUAUGAUGUUGGCUCUUCGGGGUAUAUACUUGAAGCAGCCGAGGUUUUUGAGAUUGGGCAUCAUCUUAAAAUUGGGCCGAUAGUUUCUGUCACGCCUCCUUUUUACUACCCCCGAACAGGGCGUAUAAGGGGGUUUUUUCAAUUAAAGUGACAAUCAAAAUGGGACUAUUUAUUCAAAUUUAUAGUCACCACUUGGGAUAAUUUAUGAUGUCCCAAGUUACCGGUUUAAAAUCCCAAACCGAGGAAGUUUAACUCUAUUUUAUAGUCCGCAAACACAAAAAUCCAGGUAUGGAAUUCUGUUAAUCCGGGAGAAGGUGUUAGGCAUUUCCGAGUUCCGUCGUUCUAGCACGGUCACUUUACUUAUAACUGGCUUAAUUAAAUUAUCUAAUUACUUAUUUAAGAAUCUAUGUGCAUUUACCUCUUUUAAUUAGGAAAUUGUCUUAAAACAGGUCACGCGUGCGUUACCCAUUUGUUUGGCGCGUCAAACAUCAUGUCAUGUAUACGUGUACACGAUUAAUAACGCUUUAUUAUUAUUAAGAAAUUUUGGUUGAAGAUGCGAACGAAUGACUCGAUUCAUUUUGGAAAAGAUCGUAAUUAUGUCACGCGAACGUGUACACAAUCACGAUGAUAGAUUAAGUCGUGCCUAAAGCAGGCUACGAAGAAUAAUAUAAUAAAGUAAAAUGAAUAAAAGGGAACAAAAUUAAAAAAAUAUAAUUCACGCCCAUCAUUUUAAUGAGCUUUAGCCUCCUUAUUCCCGCAACCCAUGUUAUUCAACAAAAGUACGUAAUCAGUGAUAAAUAUAGGCAAAUUGGCGAGACACAUUUGAACAUCCUCUUUUCAAAGAAUCUGCCUAGCAUAUUACUCAAAUAGUUUACUACUAAGACACUAAUCCUAGGCAUUUUUCAAGUGCAAAAUCCCACAAAAGUUUGCAUUCAAUCGAUGAAGAUGGCUAACAACUACAUGGACAGGAACAAAACACAGUUACAAUCGGAACUCAAAUCGACAAAAUUCUUAAACAAGACCAGAAAUCUCGUACGGACUACGGUGGAGUCGCCCCCAACUCAACCUCUAAAUUGACCUCUAUUGACCAGCUUUAAACCAAGUCUUGAAUGGAAACUCAAUUUCUCUAACGGGGCACAACCUAGUCGGUGUUGCAUAUUGGACAUCAUUCCAAUUCUUCAUCAGAGAGCUUCUUAUAGAUGCAAUUCCUUCACCACUUGGUUCGACAUUUCUCUUCUUUAAAUUACUUAUCAGUUAUUCCCGUCUCUUUAUUUUCAUUCAAUCUAAUAACUGAAUGACAAACCUUGAAUUAUCAAACAUACAUAAGUUGGUCUAAUUUGCUGAUACAAUAAUGAUAAAUUUUGAGAAUUGAGUAAAUGGGUAGAUUUGAUUUUGGAAAAAGGAAUGAGCGCGUGCGAUGGAUAUGGGUAGUGGGGUAUGGUAGAGCACUGUUAGGAACUGAUAGGGGAUUGAGAUGGCAGAUUCAGGGAGGGGUCUCGUUCUUUCGCUGCUCUCUUUUUUUAGUGAAGGAAAAUUUUCUUAGCUAGGUCUAUCAUCAAAAAUGUCUCCAAGGUUUUUAGGCGUUCCUGAUUUGGCUUAAGAAGCAGGAGAAUGUUUGUCGUUUGGUUGAAGAAGGAGCAGAACGGUGAGGGAGGUCUUGUGUAUUGCAGCGUGUUUAGUCUCAUUUUUUUGCGUUUUCUCGGCUGAUUUCCUUGUGUGUAUAGGUCUCUAGGUCUAGCUUAGUUUUGUAGGGUUUUUUUUUUUUAGGUUAAGGGGUAUGGGUUUAGAAAUUAUUGGCUGGAGGACUUAUGGAUUAGGUCCAAAAAUUAGGCUUAAAAUGAAUUGUUUGAGCCCAAAUUAUAUUCUAUCUCCGUGAAUAUGAGUAAAAAUACUACAUUAUUUACUAAUUAAUCCUACUUAAAUAAAAUAACUAUUAAGAUAAGAUUAAUCGUUAGCAAAUCCUUUUUUUGUAUUUUCAAAUAUCAUAUUAAAAUAAAAUAAGGUACUAUUUUUGUAAUUUUUAGUUUUACGAAAGGUAUAUAAACUAAAAGCAACUAAAAAGAAGAAAUAUUUUUGUAAUUUUCGUUUUUUGAUAAAAUAAAGUAAAAGGGUCAAAACUAGUUAAAUAACUAUAUUAGAUCUAAACUAAGUAUUUAUAUGCUAAAAUAUGUAAAACCUUGGGGAUGGUCAAAAAUCACAUGUCUACAGCUGCCACUCUUUGACUGAAAAUACGAUGUAUUUUUAGAUAAAGAACGACUAGACAUGUUUUUUGACCUGACCUUUAUUUAGAGAUACUAAAAACUAAGAGGAAGGAGAAUGAGACCGAGCCCUUGAGCUGCUUACAUAUCCUUGGCUAUAAAAGAAUAAGGCCACGUGUAGUUUAGAAGUGAAUGGGGUGAUGGAGUAUAUUGAGGUAGAGAGCCGAUCGAGGUGCCGUUUCGUCGAGGUUCCGGUUUGCGAUCCUAAUAUUACAUCAAAAUAAAAAAGCUGGAAAAAAAAUUAACUAAGCAUGUCAACUAUAAGUUACAAGAUUCAUAUAUAUAAGUCUUCUAAAGCUUGAUCUUGAGUCUUGAAUGGUUCUUCAUCCAGACUUUGGAUUUGAACCCUGAUGCUUGCUAGUUGCAGGUGCUAGUUCAUUCUUCUUCAGUUUUUCAUAUCAAAACCGGACACACCAUGCUUGUGACUUCAGUCAUGUCUUGAGCAAUCCACCUCUUGUCUCAUCUUCUGCAUUUUGGAUUCACUUUUUUUUCCUUUCUUUUUUUUUUUUUAUUCUGGAUUGAGAUUAUUUAUGUUGAUCAUCUCGGACUAUCGACUCACAUUCUUGUCGCGAGCUUCUGCUACUUAUAAUCUUAGACUGAAUUCUUGAAUAACUUCCUUUGUUCUCCAGGUGUGCGUCUGAUUGCCAAAACUUGAACUAUCUUCCUUUGAAACUUGAACUGCUUUCCCUUGAAACUCAAACUGUUUCCUCUGUUCUAUAGGUGGGUGCCUGAUUGCCGAACUUGAACGUUUUUCCUUCGAAACUGCUUUUUCUUGAAAUUUAAAUUAUUUUCUCUUGUUCUCCAAGUGGACGCCUGAUUGCUGAACUUGAAUUGUCUUCCUUCGAAACUGUUUUUCCUUGAAACUUGAACUAUCUUUCCUUGUUAUCCAAGUGGAUGCCUGAUUGCUAAACUUGAAAUGUUUGUCUUUGAAACAGCUUUCCCUUGAAACUUGAAAUGUCUUUCCUUAUUCUCCAUGUAGGUGCCUGAUUGCUGAACUUGAACUAUCUUCCUUCGAAACUGCUUUCCCUUUAAACUUGAACUGUCUUUCUUCGAAACUAUUUUUCCUUGAAACUUGAAUUGUCUUCCCUUGUUCUCCGGGUGGGCGCCUAAUUUCUGAACUUGAAUUGUCUUCCUUCGAAAAUGAUUUCCCUUGAAACUUGAACUGUCUUCCAUUGUUCUCCAGGUGGGUGCCUGAUUGCUGAACUUGAACUGUCUUCCUUUGAAACGGUUUCCCUUGAAACUUGAAUUGUCUUCCAUUGCUCCCCGUAUGGGCGCCUGAUUGCUGAACUUGACCCGUCUUCUCUUAUUAUUUGAAACCGUUUCCCUUGAAACUUGAACUGUCUUCCCUUAUUGUUGGCCCAAGAACAUGUGUAGUUGUGAAGAAUGACAAAUGAAUUCAGUCAUGGACCAUGUCCAUCAUGUGAAGCACAGUGUUUGUGUAUCUAUACAUGAGAGAUGCACGUGAAGGAGAUAAGUUCCAUUAAUCAAGCAACAAUAUCUCCAGAAUUGAUCAAAAAUGUUGCAUAUGGGAUAAGGAAAGAAAGUCUCCUUGUGAAAAGAGAACACAAUCCGAAUACAAGAUAGGGUUGGAGUUUGUGUUGUUCGAGGACUCAACUUUGAUGGAAGAUCAGCAAUUGAGUCUCAAUCAACUCUAAUCACUAACUCAUUAAAUGACAGUGAUCGUUCUCUUUUACAGACAUUGCACAAAUGCAGAAGUAAAACUAAAUUGAGAGCAAAAAGUGAGGCAAUUUUGCAAGCAAUUUAUGUGAGAUUUGAGUGUGCAUUCCUGCAGCUACUUGUACAAAAUAGAAGAACCAAUUCCUUUGUGCCUUUCUUUUAUUCUAGUUCAAUUGUAGUAUGUGAUUUAAACUUGUACCAUUUCAGCUUUCAUAGAAGCAAUUGUAUUAGGUAUGUUGAGUACUCAAGUUAGAGUUAACUUGAAGUUAUCGCAACAGUUGAGAAUGGUUGCCACAACGGGAUUAGAGGUAAUCCUUAGGUCUACAAAGAAUUUUUUAAAUGUUAUUUUGGCUUAGUGAUUUUAGUGGAAAAUUCAUACUGAGUAGUAGGUCGUGGUUUUUUCACCUUUUGAGCCGGGUGUUUUCCACGUAAAAAUCUUUGUGUUCUUUAUUUUAUGUACUUAUUAUUCCGCAAACAGUAGUGUUAGUAUACCUAGAAGAACUAGGUUCUUCUAGAGCAAAAAAUUGGUUACCACAAAAAUCACCCCCCCUCUUGUAUGGUAUUGACGUUUAAAACAUCAAUUGGUAUUAGAGCGAGUUAUUCUUAAAGAGGCUAACACCUUAGGAAAAGUUCAACAUGAGUGCACUAUGUGGUAAUUGGGUAGGGAAAUCCACUGUUAGGCCUCCACUCUUCAAUGGACAGUACUAUUCUUGGUGGAAGAACAGGAUGAGAGAUCAUAUCAUUGGAGAGGAUUAUGAACUCUGGGACAUAGUCAUUGAUGGUCCCUUGGCAACAACAAAGACGAAUGAGAAGACAGGGGCUAACUGCACUGUUGAAGACCUAAAGAAGUGGGAGAAAAAUGCUAAGGCCAUGAAAUGGCUUGUGUGUGGACUAGGUCCGAGUGAGUACAGUAUGAUCCAAAGUUGUGCCACUGCUAAGGAAAUCUAACACCUUAGGAAAAGAUCAAUAUGAGUGCACCACCUGGGAACUGAGAAGGGCAAUCCACUGCUAGGCCUCCACUCUUCAAUGGCCAGUACUAUCUUGGUGGAAGAACAAGAUGAGAAAUCAUAUCAUUGGAGAGGACUAUGAACUCUGGGACAUAGCCAUUGAUGGCCCCUUGGCAACUACAAAGAAGAAUGAGGAAAGAGUGGAUGUGCCAAAGACAAGAGUUGACUGCACUGCUGAAGAUUUGAAGAAAUGAGAGAAAAAUGCCAAGACAAAGAAAUGUCUUGUGUGUGGACUAGGUCCAGAUGAGUACAUCAGGAUCCAAAGUUGUACCACUACUAAGGAAAUCUGGGACACUUUGCAAGUGACUCAUGGAGGAACACCCCAAUUGAAGAGGUCCAAAGGAACACUGCUUUAUUCUCAAUAUGAGAAUUUUACUAUGAAGGAAGGAGAAACUAUCCAAUAGAUUAUACUAGGUUCACUACACUCACAAAUGAACUUGAGUCUCUUGGAAGGAGAAGAAGACAAGGUUGAGAAAAUCUUGACAAGGGUUCUACCAGUCUCAUGGGAAAGCAAAAUCACUACUAUUCAGGAAUCUAAGAAUAUUGCUACCCUCAAGCUGGAUGAACUAAUUGGAAAUCUUAUUGCCUAUGAACUGAGAAGGCAAACCAUGAGGAUGGACACACCUAAGAAGGAAAGAAGUCUGGCUCUUAGAAUUGCUGAAGGUUCAGAUUUGGAGGAUGAUGAAAUGGCUAUGAUAACAAGGGAUUUCAAAAAGUACCUGAUGAGAGGAAAUGUUGUGAGCACGUGAUUUUUGCCUCACUUGACAUGUUCCUAUAAAAUUCAUUAAAUUAGGAUUUUUCUAUUAUUAUUUAAAUUUUUAGGAAUUAACUGUGUGAUUUUUGUUUUUAUUUUCAUUUUUCUUUUAUUAUUUGAAUUUUUAGGAAUUAAUUGUCUGACUUCGUGUUUACUUGCGUCCUUCUUUUAUUAUUCGAAUUUUUAGGAUUUAUUUGCGUGAUUUUGCGUUUGAUUGAAUUUUAGGAAUUAAUUGCAUAAUUUGCGUUUAUUUGCAUGUCGCACGUUUUAAUUUGCAUAAUUCAUAAAAAUAUAAAAUGGCUUGUUUGCAUAGGAUUUGAAUUUUACAUUUUUUUAGGUUAUUAAUUAGUUAAUAUUGAAAAUGGAGAAAACAUUAGUUAAUUUUCUUUGAAAUUUAGGAUUUAGGAGUUUAUUUAGUUUAUUUCAUGAUAAAAUGCAUUUUGGCAAUUUUAUUUUUGUUAUUAUAAAAUCUGAAAUAAUAAAAUAAAAUAAAAUAUAAAAAAACAAAUAUAUAUAUAUAUAUACAAAGAAAAUCAUGGAUUGUAUACAAAUAUGGGUCUUUGAGAGACCAAAUCUGGCAAAACAAACCCUGACCCAUCAAAUGGACCCAAACCCAACACCCUUCCCCGUCCAAAAAGCCCUAGAAGGAAACAACGUCGUUUUGCAUCAAGGCAUCUAAGUCGUUGAUCAAUCUUGAUCAAACGGUCAAGAUGCAAGGGUUGAUUACCCUAUUUAAAUGUCGGACAACCCCCUCCCCCUACUAUUAGAACCUCGUACCUUAUUCAAAAAUGCCCUAAUUGCCGGUGUAACACCUCCCAACCCCCGCCGAGUCACCACUGCCCGCCGCCGGCCGGAACUCGCCGCCGCCGGCAGCGUAGCCCCAAAUCCGCCCAAAAUUACACUUCAGAUUUCCCGUCUUCUCCUAUUUCCAACCCCCCUAAAACCACCCCUCAAAACAUAGCCAAACGCGUCGAAUAUCCCUUUAAAGGAGCGGUGGCUCCGCCGUCCACAACGGCUUCGGCUCCAAUGGAAUCCAAAUUCAUAACCCACACUCCCAUUGCCCUCCUCUACCCAAAAACAAGUCCAACUCCAUUCAAACAACUCCCAAACUCGUCGAAUUUCAAAUCUAAGUUUGACCUAAAUCUGGAAACAAGUUUUUCAAGGCCGCUUGAAUUUUACAAUGGAGUUGCAUGCUUGUAUUGAUCAAAACAAGCAUAUAACUCCGUUUGGAGAUUCAAAAUGAAGAUCCAAUCAGUAAGUUCCUCAUUUGUUGGUAAUUUGCCUUGUGUUAGUCGUUUGUUAAUGGAAAAUGUUGAUUAAAUCCAUCCAAACUUGGUUUUGUUUGGUCACCCUUUCCGAUUAAUACAAUACUCUAGUUAUUCUAACUAAAAUCCAUCCCUACUCCUAUUUGUACAUAUUUCAUUUGGUCGCAUUAGUUUUAGGUUUUUAAUAAGAUUAGUUACAAUGCUUGAUUUUGUGACUUGCCAGUGUUAAUUGAUUAUUUGAGUCAGAUUACAAAAUAAUAUAGCUUUGCAUAGUUCUCUUUAAUAUAUUAAUUUUAGCUCUUUUUUUUACUUACUUGAAUCCAUGUUAGCUUAUAGCAGUAAUUAGUUGAUUGGUCAAUAAGUCUCAGAUUUUCAAUUUAUUUUUUGAUUAAUGGUUCAAAUAUAAUUAGGUAUUCGUUAUAGUUGUUAGUUAGUAAUAUGUAAUUACAAGAUUUAGCUAGGUAAAGUAGUGAUUCUGAUACACUAAGAGGGUAAUAUAGGGUUUUAACUUAGUGUUGGUAGUUAGGAUUAAAAUAAGGGUAGUAUAGGUAUCCUAUAAAUACGAUACAUUGCUAGAAUCUUUUAGACCCUUCGAGAAGGGGAUUUUAAUUUAAAAAUCAGUAGUUUAGUGUAGUAACUUGGGAAACAAAUGAAGGACCAAGUAGUUAAAAUCUGAAAAUCAAAAGAGGAACUAGUAGUUAAAAUGAAAUAAAAGGGUUGCCCUAGAGUUUGGCUAUAAAAGGGGCCCCAAUUCAUUCAAAAAAAGAGGUUAGACAGUCUGAAAAAAUAUUCUAAAAAAUUCCAGAUAUUUUGGAGUCUAAAAAAAAGCUCUGAAAUUUCAAACAAUAAUAAAAAAAAUCCUUCAUGCAACUAUAAUCUAAUUCAAGGCAAAAAAUCAACAAUGUCAGUCUAGUUUGAAUUUUUGAGAGUUGUUCCUUCAAAAACCUGGGCAUUUAGGACUCUAAAAUCAGCAGAAAAUCAACAAAUAAUGUUCCAUUAAAUUUCCAGCUAGGCUCGGGGUUAAUUUGAUCUUGUUUCUGGGGUUUUGCAUCAAGACUUAGGUUUGGUUAUUUCUAGAACUCCUGGGUGCAUUUUCAAAGGAUUUGAGGUCAUUUUAAGAGCUGUGUGUGUCCUAUUCUGUUUGUAUCUGGUUAUUAUUGUUGUGUUGCUCACAAAUUUGGUUGUUGAUCUCUAAUAUUGUUGUUGACUCCUUACCUCUUUUGUAUUUUGAUUACCAGGUAUUUCUUUCUCCCAAGGGAAGUGUUUUUAAGUCUAGUGAAUGUGAAAUCUAAAGAGAUUUGAAGUCAAAGGCCAUUUUUGCCUCUUGUGAUUUUAUCAACAUUAUUUGUGGUUGUUUGAGCCUCACGUUGCAUGUAUCAGCUUUUGGUGCUAUUAGAUCUGUCAUAGCUAAAGACUAUAUUUUGUAUAUAUUGGACACUUAAAUUGAUUUGCCUUGUAAAUAAGUAUAGGACUGUUCCUGGACUAUUAAUAUUUGGUUUUGAUUCCAUGAAUGAAUGCUGAUAGUAGCCUAAUCCUGUUAAGGGUUGGAGUAGUCUGUGACGCAAUGAAUCGGUGAUUCCAAUGUACCUGGUAUGGUAACAAGUUUAGGUUAAUGGAUGUGAUUAUAUCAUGAUUAAAUCUAGAGUAGACAAUUGAUUAUAGUUGGUGUAUCUAGCAUUAUUCCUAUGAAUCAUUAGAUAUAAAUUUGUGAUCAUAUGCGAGCCUGAAGGUAGGAUCUAAUUCUGCCUUUAUUUAUAUAUUAUUCCUCACUUAUAUGGUAUGAAUUCGGAACUUGUCUACGUGUAUAUAGACUUUAUUAGCUUUCACAUUGAGGCCCCAAUGCGAUGAUCCAUGUUGGCUAGCUUCCACUGAAAGCAUAAAUGAGUAAAAUUGUCGAAUUAGAUAGUACAUUGGAAUAAAGAGAAUUUAAUCCUUGUUUAAGUAUGGACCCGAGUUUUUGAAAGCCCAAACCUCAACAUCUAUUAGCCGAGUCUUUUGGAGAUGCAUUUAGUGUGCUUUAGGAUUGACCUUUUAAAUAAAAAUGAUGUGCGUCACGCCAAAUAGAAUCUAUAGAAUUGUGUGGCCCUCUUUAAAUGUUCUUAUGUUUAGAAAUUCGGGACACGCCGUUUAGCAAAUUUCACGGCUUCACGCAAAGAUAAUAACGCGAUAGUCGCUCUUAGGCACGUCUUUAAUAAUUUUAUCUUCUUAAUUACGGGUGCAUAUUUAUGUGACCCAAAUCAAAAUCUCAAUGGAGUUGACGUGGUUGGCAACAUGUUUAAACGACAUUGAAAAUUUCCUCAAAAAAUGAUAAAAGCGGUAUAAAAAUAAUUUAAAAUUGCGCCAUAGGAUGAACCUGUAUAAAAAUCAGAAUUUUAGCCAAUUGUAAUAGUUUAAGCGACCGUGCUAGAACCACGGGAUCCGGGGAUGCCUAACACCUUCCCUCGGGUCAACAGAAUUCCUUACUUAGAAUUUCUAUUUUGUAGACUCCAUUUGGGCAGUCAAAAACUUCCUCGAUUUGGGAUUCAAAACAAACCGGUAACUUGGGACACCAGAAGCCAAACCUAUCCCAAGUGGCAACUCUAAAUAAAUAAUCCUAUUGAAUAAUAUCACCUUAAUUGGAAAACUCCGUUAUACGUUUAUCCUUCGGGGUAGCCGUGUAAAAAGGAGGUGUAAAACACCUAAAAAGAAAAGAAGUCUGGCUAUCAGAAUUGUUGAAGGUUCAUAUCUGGAGGAUGAUGAAAUGGCUAUGAUAACAAGGGAUUUCAAAAAGUACCUGAUGAGAGGAAAGGGUCCGUCAAAAGGUACAACCUUCAACAAACCAAGGGCUCUCGAGAAACAGACCAAUCAGGGUUGCUACAAGUGAUAAGAUAGAUUACAUGAUCAAGAACUGCCCUCAAUAGGAAAUUGAAUGGAAGAAAGAAAGGGUUGAACGAAGGAACAAGUUCAACCAAGAAUGAAAAAAGGAUCAACAAAGGCUAUGGUUGCUGCCUGGGGAGAUAUAUCAGAUAAGGACAUAGAGGAUGAAGCUGAAGAUGAACAGGCCCUUAUGGCCAUCGGAGAAUCAGAUGAUGAACAAGAGGUAAAUUUCUUCAUCUCAAAGAGAAUAUUAAAUUUCUGUCUGAGGAAAGGCUAGCUGAGCUACUAGUAGACUUCAUUGAUGAGUCUGAGAUAAUUAACAAUGAGAAAGAAGAUCUGUCUAUGGAAUGUGUGAUCCUAAAAGCAAAAUGCAAAAGUCUAGAGUCUAGGGUUAAGGAGAGUGAUAUCAAAACUGUUGAGUUGAAGAACCAUGUUCUUGAACUUGACAAUAGUGUCCUAGAACUUAGAUCUAAAAAUUUAAAAUUGAAACUAUGAACAAGAAAUAAGAAAAUUGAUCACAGAUUUCUCACUUUAGAAGAAAACUUAGGAAAAAUGAAUGAUGAGUUAUAUAAGAAGGAUGAAUUGAUUAAAUUCCUAAAAGAAGAUCAAGGAAAGGUGAAACAUGAACUAGACAAAACUUGCAAAUGGAACAAGGCUUCUGAUGCACUUUCUUGGUUGCAAGAGCAUCACAGUAAUAACAAAAGAGGACUUGGCCAUAGGACUCAAGCACCAACAUGGGACCCUAAAAGCAAGUACCUCAUAUUUAUUGAGAAUAAAACUGCACACACUAUGGCAAGACUGACCAUUACAAAAGUGAACGUAAUGCUAAAGAAAAGGCCAGUCGAAAGAACAAAGCCUUUGUUCAAGAGAAAAGUAAGCUGUCUGGGUGGGCAAGAAGGAAUUUGAUUCACCAUUUUGCCUAUAGAAAGGGACACAAACUAGUUUGGGUUCCUAAGACUAACCUCUGAUUUCUUUUUGUAAGUCCAAGUGAAAGAAAGUAGCCAAAUAUAGUAUAUGAAUAGUGGCUGCUCAAAAUAUAUGGCUCGGAGGAAGAACCAGUUCCUUUCACUUAAGGACUUAAAGGGAGGCAAUGGGAAGAAAGGUGAGAUUAUUGGGGUUGGAAAGGUAGGUAAGACAGACUCUAACUCCAUUGAGAAUGUCUACUUAAUAGAUGGCUUGAAAUAUAGCCUGAUCAGUGUGUUACAAUUGUGUGUCAGAGGUAACCUUCUAGCAUUCACCUCUACUAAAUGCUUUGUGAUUAAUCUUACCACUACAAGAUUGUUUUGCAGGGAAAGAGAGUUAACAAUAUUUACAUUGUAGAUUUGUCCACUCUCGCUUUGUGAUUAAUCUUACCACUAACAAAUUGUUUUGCAGGGAAAGAGAGCUAACAAUAUGUACAUGGUAGAUUUGUCCACUCUCUCAGAAAUUGAACUAACUUGUCUAAGUGUGUUGGAUAAUGAUCCCCUCAUGUGGCACAAAAGACUUGGUCAUGCCAGUCUGACUCAGCUAAAUAAAUUAGUCUCCAAUGACUUGGUGAUAGGGUUACCCAACAUCAAGUUCAAGGAUGAAAAAGUUUAUGAGGCAUGUGCAAGGGGGAAGCAAGUAAGAUCAUCCUUCAAAAGCAAGAAAAUGGUAAGCACAACCAAGUCGUUGGAACUGGUCCAUAUGGAUCUCUGUGGUCCAAUGAUAACCAUGAGCAGAAGUGGAAAGAAAUAUGUAAUGGUGCUUGUUGAUGAUUAUUCUAGAUUUACCUAGGUUCUAUUUCUAACUUCUAAAGAUGAAACAUUUGACAUGUUUACUACAUUUGUUACAAAAACUCAGAAACAAUUAAGAAAUCAACUUGCACCCAUUAGGUCUGGUCAUGGAACUGAAUUUGAAAACUCCAAGUUUACUGAAUUCUGUGAUGAAAAUGGUAUAGAUCGUAAUUUCUCUACCUCUAGGACUCCUCAAAAAAAUGGAGUAGUUAAAAGAAAAACUAGGACUCUUGAGGACAUGGCUAGGACCAUGCUGCUUUCUAGUAAUCUGCCUCGUAACUUUUGGGCAGGGGCUGUGGACACUACAUGUUACAUAAUCAAAUGAGUUACUUAAAGGGAGAAAACCAAACAUAUCCCAUCUUAGGGCAUUUGGUGGUAAGUGCUAUGUGCAUAAUAAUGGAAAAGACUCCCUACAAAAGAUUUAUCCCAAAAGUGAUGAAGGAGUAUUCUUGGGAUAGUCUUCACAUAGCAAAGCAUAUAAAGUGUUUAAUAAAAGAAAUUUAUGUGUAGAAGAAAGUGUACAUGUAGUAUUUGAUGAAACUAACAUUUUUUCUGAGACAAAUGCACAUGAAGAUGAAGCCAUUGGAUUGGUAAAGGACUUGGCUGAAGCCUCAGCUCAAGCCAAAGUGGCACCAACAGAAGGAACAGGUGAUGGAACAGGUUCUUCCAUACAGGGCAACUUGACAGGGGGGAACUAAUCAAAGAGCAAUUGAAAUAAAUCCCUUGAAGGAACCUGCUCAUGACCCUGUUCCUCAGCAACAAAACAUGGGAGAAAUAUAUAGUAGAAACCAAUUGGUUGUGAAACCUCACAAGUAUCAAAGUUCUCAUCCCAUUGAGAACAUUAUCAUUGACCCAAUGUUUGGAGUUAAAACUAGAUUACAAUUAAAGAAUCUGUGUGUUUUUGAUGCCUUUGUGUCUCUUAUUGAACCUAAAAAUGUUGCUAAUGCAGGAUGCAGAUUGGGUGAUUUCUAAUUUCAAGACCCAAGGACAAUUUUGGCAUCUAAUUUCAAGACCCAAAGACAAAUCAGUCAGUGCCACAAAGUGGGUCUUUAGAAACAAACUUGAUGAAGAUGGAACGAUUACAAGAAACAAUGCAAGACUGGUGGUCCAAGGUUACAGCCAAAGGAGGGCAUAAACUAUGAUGAGACUUUUGCUCAUGUUGCAAGACUAGCGUCAAUCAGACUCCUUAUAGCCUUUGCAGCACAUAUGGAAUUCACUCUGCAUCAAAUGGAUGUCAAAAGUGCCUUCCUAAAUGGCUACCUGAAAGAGAAAGCGUUUGUGAAACAACCAUCAGGGUUUGAGAGCAAGGAAUGUCCUAAGCAUAUGUACAAGUUAGACAAGGCCCUAUAUGGACUCAAGCAGGCUCCAAGAGCAUGGUAUGAAUGAUUGUCAAAAUUCCUGCUGGAGUAUGGUUACAAGAGAAGUAAAAAUUGAUUGUACCUCAUUCUUAUAGAAAAAAGGUAAGGAUCUCCUUGUUGUACGAAUAUAUGUUGAUGACAUAAUCUUUGGGGCCACUACUGAUAAGCUAAGUAAGGAUUUUGCAAAACUAAUGGGGAGUGAGUUUGAAAUGAGCAUGAUGGGUGAGCUUAACUUCUUCUUAGGCUUACAAAAUAAACAAAAUUCAAAUGGAACCAUGAUCCAUUAGCAGAAGUAUGCAAAGGAGCUAAUCAAAAAGUUUAUAAUGGAAAUUGGUGAGCUUAACUUCUUCUUAGGUUUACAAAUUAAACAAAGUCCAAACAGAACCAUGAUCCACCAGCAGAAAUAUGCAAAGGACCUAAUCAAAAAAUUUACAAUGGAAGAAUAAAAAGAAAUAAACACACCAAUUGCAACUGCUACUAAAUUAAAUGUUGAUGAACAUGGUUCAUUAGUUGAUCAAAAGUUGUAUAGGGGUAUGAUUGGCUCCCUUCUAUAUCUUACUGCUAGCAGACCUGACAUUGUCUUCAGUGUAGGGCUUUGUGCUCGCUUUCGGGCAAAUCCUAAAGAGUCUCACCUGACUGCUGUCAAAAGAAUACUAAGAUACUUGAAAGGCACCACUAAUCUGUGUCUUUGGUAUCCCAUAAGUAGCAAUUUUAAUCUAGUAAGAUAUGAUAAUGCUGAUUAUGCAGAUUUUCUAGUGGAUAGGAAGAGCACCUCAGGUAUGGCACACUUCCUUAGUUCAUGUCUUGUGUCAUGGGCUACCAAAAAGCAAAACUCAGUGGCCCUAUCUACUGCUGAAACUGAGUAUGUUGCUGCCUCUUGUUGUGCUCAAUUGCUAUGGAUCAAACAGUAGCUGGUAGACAUUAGUAUGAAGUUGGUUGCAUUUCUAUAUUUUGUGAUAACACUAGUGCUAUAAGUAUGACAAAGAACCAUGUUCAUUAUAAGAGUAUUAAGCACAUAGAUGUUAGGCACCACUUCUUAAGAGAUAACUAUGAGAAAGGAUUGAUCUCCAUAGAAUUUUGUGCUACUAAUAAACAGAUUGCUGACAUCUUCACUAAAGCACUGAGUAGAGAACACUUUGAGAAGAACAUAUUGGAAUUAGGGAUGAUUAAGAUCACCUAAUAGGUUCAAAUCAGAAUGCGCAAAUUGGUGACAUUUUCACUAAAGCACUAAGUAGAGAAAACAUUGAGAGUAACAUGUUGGAAUUAGGGAUGAUUAAGAUCAUUUAAUAGGUCUAGUUCAGAAUGCACAAUGAAAAAUAAAUUGAAAAAAAAAUUUGGUUAGAAGUUCUAUUCUUGUGUAAAUGUCUAGAUUAAUUCUUACUCAGCUUUAUACUUUAAUUAGUUUACCCCUGAGACAUGUGUAUAGACGAUUCACUGAUCUCUUACAAAGUGUUUCUAUUAUGACAUUUAAGGGAUGUUCAUGAGAGUUCUAUAGGAAGAACAUGGUUCAUCAGUAUGAGUUCAUAUGAAAGCUCAGUUAUGCUUUCAAUACUUUGCAUAAGUAGAAAGAUUAACACUUCAAUCAUGAGCAAAAGUCCUAUACAUUCCAAAUUCCUAGAAUUAUAUCCGUUGAGGUAUUGAACCAGUUUCGUACAUUUAGAGCUCUUAAACACAUCUUUGCCAAAAAUCUAGGGAAGCCAAAUAAUCAUUUAAAAAGUCUGGAAUUGCAGUUAGAUUAGACUUCUAAUUGACUCCUGAAAAGCAGUCUUUGCCGCAUUAAUGUCCAAUUUACUUUAAAUAUCAACCACAUCUAUAAUCUUCUUCAUUAUUCUAAAACCGUCAAAAUAAUUCUCCAAGUUUUAAUCUCUCCUCUUCUCCAGAAAUUCCCAAAUUUCCUCCAUAAACGAACAACCAUGUCUAACCCACAAGAUCAUCCCGACACUCCUCCACCACCAAAUCCCUCAAAUUAAUCCUCAUCUAUGCCUCCUAGUGAGUCUCCAAAACCUAGGUUUCGAAGGCAGAAAAUGUUGGCUAGAAAAACUAUAGCAUCUGGAGCUCUAUAAAUGAGAGAUUGAAAACUAGCCAAAGGAAAGAAAGCCCAGCUCAAGAACUGACUCCUAUUCUGAGUCAGAAUCCUUUAUAUCUACUAGUGAAGGUGAAGAACAUGGGUAUUCUGACACUGAGAAAAGUCAAGAAACCCAUGUUGAGGUAAGUUCUUUUAUGGUUGAAAACUUAGAAAAUAGGUUUGUUCUAGUUAGACCUAUUCGAGAUGUAAAGGUGGUUGAAUCGAGUAGGAGUAGGAAAGGAAAAGAAAAAAGAAAAGUUCUUACAAUAUGUGGAGUUAAACAAAAGAGUGGCACAAAGUUAGGGAGAAGUGGCUCUAGGAAAGCAACUGAAGGGUUGGUUCAUCUAAGCAAACAAAAAGAUGAACCUGGUUCAUCUACUAAUGAAACUCUGGUUGACAUUCUGAAAAGGGUUGGGACAAGUUAUGACCCAAAGAAAUGCAAAUCUACCUCACAAAAGGACCUAACUGUUACCAAGCCAUCUAAGAAAAGAAAGACUUCAUCUCCAAAAUCUACUGCCCCUUCAGUACCUAAGGGAAGGGCUACAAGAAGCAUGUAAGACAAAGUGAAGCUGACCCACAAAAAGCUCUGGAAGAAAUCAAGAAGAAGAAAAUGGAGAAGGGAAAGAAAAAGGUUGCAGAGUCCUCUCAGGUUGAAGAAGAAGAGGAGAUGGAACGGGUUUAUCAAGAAAGGGGAACAACAGUGGAGGUUUCUACACCAAAACCUAAAAAGUCCGAGAAUUCUUCCAAGAAGUCUCCUUUUGUACCUACGUCUGAUGAACCCCCACUAGCCAAGUGGACAAGAUCUGGAAUGAAAGAAAAGCAAAAGAAAAUUAUUAAAGAGGAUGAAUAGUGGGGUGGAGAAGAAGUAGAAGAGGAAUCUGAGAAGGAGCAGGAUGAAUUUGCCAUCUUUGGCAAAAGAAAAAUUCUGAAGGAAGAUUACUGACGGACCUGGUUGAGUCAGGGAUGAUAAAACAGGUGGAUACUUUAGCUACACAAGGUUGGAUGGACAUAGUCCUUGAAAUGGAUGGGAGGUUGGCCAGGAAUGAGCUGAUUGAAUUUAUGGCCAAUGUUGUUAUGAAGGAUGGAGUAGUCACCAGCUUAGUGAAGGGAGUCCCAGUGCAACAAGGAAUAAUUGUUCCCCUCCAUGCCCUAGUUUCCUAGGGUUGCUGGAUGCUUGAGAAUGUUGUGAAGGCAAAAGUGCAUUAUGCGGUGUUGGUGCUCACCAUGAGGAAUAACCUAGUGGUUGGACAAAUGACCGAACGUUGUUUGUAGGAUAAUAUUGGGGUAAAUUAUGUGGAGCUCAAGGAUAUUCAUGGGGUUGUUAUUGAGGCUAAAAGCAUUUAGCGGGAAUGCACCCCGGAUCAUGUCAUUGGCGGGGCUCAACAAUAUCUUUUCUAUCAAUUAGAGGACUCUCCUAAGCAACUUGUUCGUUCCAUCUGAACCAAAAUUACCUAAAACUUUCCUUGGGUUUCUUUUCUAUCUGAGAUAGGGAGGAACGAUUUAGGAUAAUGUAUGUAUUGUACUGAAAGUGUCGCACAAAAUCUUGAACCAUGUAUGCCACUCACCGACAUCUUGACGAGUAUGUCAUUCCAAAACUUCCCCAGUCAGGAUCUCACUGAAAUACCCCUGUCAGAAACUCAUCUUUCUCGCCAACACUUCUUAUUUCGCUGCAAUAACCCCUCAGAUAGGCUACUAAAUCUCACGCCCAUCAUACAAAUUAAACUUUGGCAUCUUAAACCCUUUCAGCCUUCUGGAUAUCUCAUCUUUCUCCACUGUCUUAGCAGACUUUGCAGUAUCACCAGGAGGCUCAAAAUAAGGAGCAUAAGAAUAUGGUCCCGAGACCUUGGAAAUUGAUUCUGGAGCACAGUGUUGGGCAUCGGGGAUUUUGAACAUAGUCUUACUAGAAGACCGAGAAAAUAUAGCAUGUGGAUGAGCUACAAAAAUAAGAGUGGUCAAAGAAGCAGGAUAUAAGGUGGUUGGAGGUGGGGUGUGAAAAGGUUAUGGGGAGAUAUCCUGGACUUGUGACAGUGGCAAAAUGGUGACAAGGCUGUAGUUAGUGGGAGCUGAUGGUGGAGGACGCCCAUUCGGCCAUCUCCCCUUUCAACCUUAAGACCUCUUCUUUCAACUUAGAUUCUGAUUCAACAAUAUCCUUAAACAAAUCAACAACACUUGUGUGCAAGUCUUUGCCAGCUAUGGCUACCUUGCUCUGACCUUUGUGUUGUAUGUAAGAGUUACCAGUUUAAGAAUCACUAACCAACACCCUUCUUCUAUAAUGAGGAUAACAAAGAGGAACAAAAUGAAGUCAUCAUGUUAGCGUUAGGGCAUUUAGCAUCUAAAAACAUCACAUUACGUGCAAUGCACCUAGCAACAAUUAAUGGUUAAAAAAUGACCUCGAGGGUCACAAGGUCACUUGGUACAUCCCAAUUUGUCCAUUUGAAUCUUCUCUUUUCUUUUUCUUUUCUAACACUUCUUGGCUUGCUCAUUUUCCUUCUUCUUUUUUCUUCUAAUUACUACUCUUUUCUUUCCUCUCAUUUCUCACAUCCCAUAAUUCAUCUCUUGUUUGUUUCCUCUUUUUUUAAUAAAAGAAAAAUGAUUUGAUUGAACCCUAUGUAGGUUGCCUACGUGUUAUGACGCAGCAUGAAUCAAAUCUUUGCGUAGUUCGGGAAGAUCGAAAAUAAAGGAAACAAACUAACGUUAAAAAUCACUCUUUUGAAUUUUAUAAAUUUAAUGUUCUGUAACCUAUUCUAAACUCAAGCUUAACGGACAUGUAUUAAUUUUAUUUUUUACUUUUCGAAACAAAAACUCUAUUAAGGAAAAAUCCUAUAAGAGAAAAAUAUUUUUUGACUUUUUAUUUUUAUUUAGGAAGGAAAUCUAAAGAAUGAACCAAACAACAAUAUGUUGAAUUUUCACUUGAUAUCCUGAAAAAAAUUUCGAAACAAGAAUGAAAAAGGUAAAAAAAAAAUUUUGAAUUUUACUUUUUGAUUACCUAAAUGAGAAAUUCUAAUGAUAAACAAAAGAUAAAAUAUAUUUUAUUCAUUCUAUGUACAAUGUUCUAAAGUUCUAGUGAAAAUAAAAUGCAUAUUUUUUUUGUUUUAUUAAUUUCCGAAAGAAGAACCUCAAAGAAAUUUUUUUUAGGUUUUGGAAUUAAUAUCUUAAAUAAAGCUUGUAAAGAGAUAUCAAAAGAGAAAAAUCACAUUUUUUUUGAGUUUUUAGUCCUAGUAUCCUAUAGAAAAUAUAAAAGUAAUUUAUUUUGAGUUUCAGAUAUUAAUUUUCUAAAGGAAAAACUACCUCAAAAUUUCUUUUUUUUUUUAAUUUCUAGGAAAAGUAUUUCUAAUGAAAAUUCUAACGGAAAUAUAAAAACACAAAAUAUCUUUUUUUUAUUUUUAAUUUAUAAUACAUUUUCAAAUACAAAAUAGGAAAUAAUAACAAAAGAUUCGACAAACUUAACUAGACUAUGACAAACUCUAGCAUCAACUAAAUGACUGAAUAUUGUUGUACAGGACUAGAAAGUAUAAUAUGAACAAUAGACUCAAAAAUAUAAAAAAGUCUCCUCAGGCAGCACCUGAAUGCAGUGGUCUUGGGGUUUCUGUCAUGCUCAAACUUCGGUAAGCAGAUCCACAUUUGUAUGAGAAAACUGAAACCAACACUAUGUGAGACAAUAACAUUCCCUACUAGACACAUGCAAGACAUAGCUAUGACUAUUUUUCUAAAAUUAACCUAUGUGGCUAAAGUAGCUAAAAAUACAAGAUUUGAAUAAGAUCCUGCGAAGCCAAGAACCUAAACUCACUAGAAAAAUCUGAUCCUAUGUAGAUUGCCCGUAUCAAGCUCCAAAAGACGAGAAUCAAGUAUGCGUAGUUCGGGCAAUUUUGACACAUUUGAAGAGGACACAUUAUUGGCUUAUUUUGAAAUGACUCUUUUCUUUUCCUCUUUUUUUUUUUUUUUUUGAAAACUUUUGGCAAAGUUUCGGGACAUUUCCAAAUACUAGAGAUUUUUUAGUUUUAUUUCCUUCCCUACAUCACUCUUGGUUUUUCUCUUGAUUUAUUUUUUCCUAGUCGGUCAGCAUGCAGGCUGAAACAAAUAAAUGUUCAUAUAGCACGUAGGAUGAUUAGAAUGGUCUUUUAUUUUGGAUACAACUAUUAUAGACAAACUCAACCCCUGUGUUGAGUCCCCAAAGUCAAAUACACAUGAUACAAACAAAAAUUCCUACUAGGGAUUCGGCAUGAGGUUAUGUUUUUCUAGGUUUAAAUCCUUGGGUUGUGUUCUAGACUUGGCUUACCCAGCGGAUAACUCGAGCCGAAGAGGGGGCAACGUAUAUGGAGCAUUAUAGUUUAUCUGGCCUUGUUGUUGGCGCAACCCCGUUCUUAUUUGGUAUAACUUCUACAGAAAAAGUGGGUCACGCGAACAUGUGCAUCAUUUUCAGAAGAAUCAGAGGGGUGGCGUAAGAAGACAAUUAUAUACAAUUCAAAUAAUAUCAAAGCAGUAAAUAGGCAGCACUUAGCACAAAAGGAUCACCAAAUACAGUAAUAGUAACAAUAAAUAAAGCCAAGUAAAAAUUCAUAAAAACAAGUUCGAAUUCUUGAACCCUGAACCAUAAAUUCUGGGUCCUUUUCCCUAGCACAACCGCUAGCGAUGUCACACCUCCUUUUUUACUAUCCCUGAAAAGGGCGUAUAAGGGAGUUUUUUCAAUUAAAGUGACAAUCGAAACAGGAUUAUUUAUUCAAAUUCUGAGUCGCCACUUGGGAUAAUUUAUGGUGUCCUAAGUCAGUGGUAUAAAAUCUCAAAUCGAGGAAGUUUGACUUUGUUUUACCGUCUGCGAACUAUAAAAAUCCAGGUAAGGAAUUAUGUUAACCCGGGAGAAGGUGUUAGGCAUUCUCGAAUUUCGUGGUUCUAGCAUGGUUGCUUAAUCAUACCUGACUUAAUUAAAUUGUCUAAUUAUGUAUUUAAGAACCUAUGUGCAUUUACCUCUUUUAAUUAGGAAAUUAUCUUAAAAUAGGUCACGCGUACGUUACCCAUUUGUUUGGUGCGUUAAAAAAUCAUGUCACAUGGACGUGUACACGAUUAAUAAUGCUUUAUUAUUACUAAGAAAUUUUGGUUGAAGAUGCGAACGUGCCUCGAUUCAUUUUGGAAAAGAUCGUAAUUAUAUCACGCAAAUGUGUACACAAUCACGAUGAUAGAUUAAGUCACGUCUAAAGCAGACUACGAUGAAUAAUAUAAUAAAGUAAAGUGAAUAAAAGGGAACUAAAUAAAAGAAAAUAUAAUUCAUGCCCAUAAUUUUAAUGAGAUUUAGCCUCAUUAUUUUCAACAAAAGUAUGUAAACAGUGAUAAACAUAGGCAACUUGGUGAGAUCAAUUUGAACGUCCUCUUUUCAAAGAUUCUGCCUAGUAUAUUACUCGAAUAGUUUACUAUUAAGAAACUAAACCCAGGCAUUUUUCAAGUGCAGAAUCCCACAAAAGUUUGCAUUCACACGUUAAAUCAAAAGCAUGGAGGAAACAUAGCAGUACAGAAUAUUUCAUGAAUGGGAACCAACAUUAUAAUUCAUUACUAGUAUUUAAAUAUCCUAAAACGAGAAAUCAACACCAUUAGGCAAAGUAAGAGGAAAGAGUUAAACCUGAAACUGGAAUUUUCAAUCGAUGAGGACGGCUAACAAUUACAUGGACAUGAACUGAACACAGUUACAAUCGGAACUCAAAUCGACAAAAAUCUCAAACAUGAACCCGGACCGGAAAUCUCGUACGGACUACGGUGGACUCGGCCCCAACUCAACCUCUAAAUCAACCUCUAAUGACCAGCUCCAAACCAAGUCUUGAAUGGAAACUCAAUUUCUCUAACAAGGCACAGCCUAAGUUGGUGUUGCAUAUUGGAAAUCAUCCCAAUUCUUUGUCAGAGAGCUUCUUAUAGAUGCAAUUCCUUCACCGCUUGGUUUGACAUUUCUCUUCUUUAAAUUACUUAUCAGCUAUUCCCAUCUCUUUAUUUGCAUUUAAUCUAAUAACUGAAUAGCAAACCUUGAAUUAUCAAACAUAUAUAAGUUGGUCUAAUUUGCUCAAAUACCGAUACAACAAUGAUAAAUUUUGAGAAUUGAGUAAAUGGGUGGAAUUUGAUUUUGGAAAAAGGAACGAGCGCGGACAAUGGAUAUGGGUAGUUGGGUACGAUAGAGCACUAUUAGGAAUUGAUAGGGGAUUGAGACGGCAGAGUCAGGGAGGGGUCUCGUUAUUCCGCUGCUCUCUUUUUUUAAUGUAGGAAACUUUCUUAGCUAGGUCUGUAAAUGCAGAAGGGAAAUGGCUCCUCUCCAUUGUCUAUCAUCAAAAACGGCUCCAAGGUUUUUAGGCGUUCCUAAUUUGGUUUCAGAAGCAGGAGAAUGUGUGUUGUUUGGUUGAAGGAGGAGCAGAACAGUGGGGGAGGUCUUGUUUAUUGUGGCGUAUUUAGUCUCUCAUUUUUUUGUAUCUUUUUGCUAAUUUCCUUGUGUGUAUAGGUCUUUAGGUCUAGUUUAGUUUUGCAGGUCUUUUUUUAGGUUAAAGGGUAUAUGCCUAGGAAUUAUGAGCUGGAUCUAAAAAUUAAGCUUAAAAUUGGUCAUUUAAACCUAAUUUUUAUUCUUUUUACAGAACAAGAGUAAAAAUACUACCUUAUUUACUAAUUAAUCCUACUUAAAUAAAAUAAUAAUUAAGAUAAGACAAAUCGUCAACAAAUCCUUUUUUUUAUUUUCAAAUAUCAUAUUAAAAUAAAAAAUAAGGUACUAGUUUUUGUAGUUUUUAGUUUUACGAAAGGUAGAUAAACUAAAAGCAACUAAAAAGAAGAAAUACUUUUGUAAUUUUUGUUUUUUAAUAAAAUAAAGUAAAAUGGGCAAAACUAGAUUAAAUAACUAUAUUAGACCUAAACUAAGUAUUUAAAUGCUAAAAUAUAUAAAAUUUUGGGGAGGGUAAAAAAUCACAUGUCUACAGUUUCUAUAGGGUCGAUGCCUAUAAUGGCGAAAAUUCUCGUGGUCUGACGACCUCUGAGCGUUUGCACAAUAGGGGUAUUUUCAUGGCAUGAUUGAAAAGUGACCAAGGUGGUCCCACUAGCACGCUUCCUGAAAAGUGAUACUGACAUGGCCGGAUUUCGUUGGUCUCUAGAGCAGGCAAAUAGUCGCCACCUGCCCUAUAUAUGUGCUUGUUUCCCCCUUAUUCGAAGAUACUGCUAUAUUGAGCGAUUAUCUCCUAUGUAUGUUCCCCUUUCUUGUGCCAAUUUCCUUUACCUCAAAGCUUUCAUUUAAGUCUUCUCAUUUCCCUUUUCUUUGUUUUACCAUAGCCAUGGUUGUUGUGCCUGCAUCCGCUUGUCAAGAAGAGGAGGGUUCUUCCCUAGUUUCGUGCUCGUUCAGUGGUACACCGCCGGCGUCCGGUGAGCUAUCAUCGAGGUGUUUUGUCUCAAAAAGGGACUUUUCACUAGAGAAACCUCCCAAUGUUAUGGGCCACCGGGAGCAUGUGUCGAGGUUUAUCUCCUCAAUAGGGGAGGAGCAUCUCGAGAUAGUCAGAAAAGACUGCGGAUGGGGGAGAAAGGUGGUGUUGCAGGCACCUUCCCAUUAAGAGAGCAUAAUGGCUCAUGUUGAGGGGUUUUUGAACGUAUAUACGUACCCUUUUACAUAUGGUCCCUCUCAACAAGGUCGUGCUCGAGUUUUGUAGAAGGUAUCGGGUUACCUUGGCGCAGGCUCACAUAUCUCUUUGGAAGAUAGUGUUGAUGAUAAGGUAUUUUGCGAAUAUGGUCGGGGUCGAAUUCAUCCUUAGUCAUCUCGUCGGGUUAUAUCGGUCUUUAUAUUAUCGGAGCUUGAUUACUUUGUGAUGUGGAUCCGCACGGCCCCUUGCUGUUAACAACUAAGAGGACGAUGACCGAUGGUGGAUGAGCCGAUUUUUUCCGGCACGGACAGUCGAUAUUAUCGCUGGAGAGUAUCUGCCAUUUUUUGGAGAAGUGAAAUUUCACACGUAAGUGGUACACUUGUGUUUUCAUCACUUUUGUCCCUAGUGGAUGCAAACUCUAUAAAGAUAAUUUCCAUUUUGUUUUCUUUAGCGACUCCUUGGCUGCCAAACGAGGUUCUUGACCUGGCUGAAUGGUCUCGUAAGCUGCAGCUUGCUUGUCUUAUGAUAAGUGCAAAUGGUGAGACUUGUCCAAGGGAGAUGGGAGGCAAAACAUCAAGGUAGGUGCUUAGUGGCUUGUUUUAUCAAAAAGGUACUUUCUUUUUAGCGCACUAACUCUGUCUCUACAGGUGGUGGAGGAUUAUUUGUGAUGAGGUCGUGUCCCCCCGAGGAAGAGGAAAGAUUGCCAACCUCAGGACCGAGGAUUGAUAACAAACGAAAGGAAUUCUCGAAUGGCGAGGACUAUUGUAAUGAAGUGAGCCCUUCUUGGAGGGUUAAAAGAUACAUCGGUUGAUCCUGCGGCCUCUCAAUCCUCAAUUUUUGGAAAGACAAUUUCUUUCUUGCCGCCGUCUCCCAUUACCGUCGAAGGCACUUCGAGGCCAGGGGCCGAGCGAAUCGACUGGAGCAUCAGGCGGCCACACUCCUAUCGGGGGUAGUUUUACUGAGAUAAAUGAGGCUAAGCUAGUAAAUAUGUGCUCGACUUUCGAUGAAGCUCAGCGGCUCAGUUCCAUGGUGAGUUUUGAGUAGUGAGCAUAUGCCCUCUUUAUUGUUUCAUGCAUUCCCUUUCCUAUUGAGCUCCCUUUUCACAGGCCUUUGACAAGCUCAAGUCUGAGCUGCUUAGUCAUGAAGAUAGGCUGUGGAAAUCUUUGGAUGGGGAGAAGUCCCUCAGGCUUCUUUGUAAGAAGAGGGGAGAUGAGUUGGACCAUCUGCAGUACGAGGAAGACCAAAAUCGAAACUACGAAAUCUAUCUCGAACGAUAGGUAAACUUCAUUCUUCGUUGAUAUAUGCUCCCCCUUCUACUUUCGGAGAUUAAUGUUCCGAUAUUCCAGCUGAAGAGUAAAACAGAGGAGUUGAAUGACUUGACCAUGUUAAACAUGAGUGUAACAAGCUAAAGGAUCAGGUAGAUGCCCAAGUUGUGGCCAAGAAGGAUGCUUUGGCCAAGGAUCCCUCCCUUGAAGUGCAACUCCGGAAUACUCGUGCAAACAGCUCGGUCCGGAUAAGCAUGAUUACAAGGCUCGAGUCUGUGCUUUUAAAGAUGAAGGCCAAAGUUGUGGAUGCCCGGGCUGAAGCCUUAAUGAGCCGAACUGAGGCUCACAAGAAAGUGGCAGUCAAUUUGAAGGACGUGUUGAUGCUUGAGCUCAACUGAGAAGGUCUCUUGACCAUGAGAGCAGGAGCAAGGAAUAUGCUCGGCAUAAAUCUCUAAGGGAAACCCUUUAGGAGAUCCAUGCUAGGGGAUUUGACCUCUCGGAAUAGGUGAAUCAGGCAAAGGCGAACGAACAUGAUGCUAAGUCCGGUUUGUACGAUGCCGAGGAUAGCGAGAAAGAGGUCGACGGGCCAUAGUCCCUGAGAGGGAUGUAGAUUAAGCCUUCCUUUCCUGAUUUUGUGUGUAGUGCUUUCAAAGAACAUUGUAAAUGAAGCUUGUAUUUUUUUGCAUCUUUGUAUAAAAGGAAUCCUUGCCAUUUCAUUUUUCUUACACUUCCCUUUGCUUCGACGUUUGUUAGUUAUUAGCCAUGUGAAUUGGUUCUCGAAUUAAAAGAACCUUUAGGUUUAUAGCCCUGGGGCUCGUUGGGCUGGCCCGUAGGCUCUGACGCGUCUAGUCCGUAUGACUUUUUAGUAUAAGUCGGUGUUUAAACUCUUAUGAUUUUUUCUCUUAGGCAUAUUUAGUUAACUGUUUCAAGUUCAGUCUUCGAGUCAAGUUUCGACUCGAGCUUAUUGACCCCUAAGUUUUUGAAUUAAAAGCUGGCCCUUGGGCUUUUGCGUGUUUGGUCAGUACGACCCUUUACAUGGACUGGCGACAGUGGCUCUGACGCUUUAGGUUGGCAUGACUUUUAUACGAGCUGGUGGUAGUGGCUCUUAUGCUUUUUGUCGGUAGGACCUUUUAUAUGAGCUGGCAGCAAUAGAUUUUAAGCAUUAGGUCGGUACGACCUUUUAUAUGAGCCGGCGACAGUGGCUCUUACGCAUUAGGGUCGAUUUGACCUCUAGCAUAAGCUUUAUUUUUCCCUUGUUAAGGAUUUUGAAAUUGGGUUUUGCAUGACUCUUCGACGGUUCGGUAAAACCUCAAUUGUGAGUCAUUAUGUCGCGGUGUUCGAUCACCUCGGGAGGUUUUGAUCGGUGACUGAGUGUUUCGAAGCCUAUAGUUUUGGAGCUGACAUUGUUGAAGACCUUUUGCCUAUGUCGAGGGUAGCUUGUUUUAACCAAUUCUUUUCGAAGUUUUUUCGAAGUAAUUGAAAGCUUGUGAUUGUUAUAGCGACGGUCGGGCAUCCCUCCGUCGCGUUAGUUUGGCUGGUACAGCCUUGUGACCGUAGUCAUUAUGUUUGGAUGGAGGAGCCUUUCAGUCCCCAAGUAAAGUAGUUUCGGCGUCUAUAUCGAGGGUAUGCCUUUUAGGGGUCUUACAAGUUCGAUAUAUAGCCUUAACUUUAAGAUCGAGAUUUAUGCCUUUUGUAUAGUCUUAAAAAUUUUGACAUGCCUUUGAUAUCUUACAGUUUUGGUUACUUGGUACAAGUAUGGUUCAUGCGUUGCUUGAGGUCUUACAGUUUUUGGUUACCUAAUACAAGUACGGUUCAUGCCUUGCUUGAGAUCUUAUAGUUUUGAUGUUGCCUUAUGCAGGUCUUGUGUGCUCGAGGUUGCCACAUGGGGCCUUGUAGCCUUGGGUUUUUGAAAGAUCGAUGGGGGUGGAAAUUGGCGGUAGUCCCCGAGUUAUCAAAAGUUUCUCGGCUAGGUGCCAUUCCUUGCAAAAUUGGUGUUGCCUCAUUGAGGGCUUACGAGUUCGGAGUCUCCGACCCGGAGGUCAUGUGGCCUUAAGUUUUUGAUGCCAGUCCCCGAGUGUUCGGGACGUUUUUGGCUUUGCAGCCAUUUUUCUAACCUUAAUGUUGCCUCAUUGAGGGCUUAGCUUCUAGUUUUUGAUACUAUUCCCGAGUGUUCAGGACGUUUUUUUGGCUCUAGAGUCAUUUUUUAGAAAAUACCGAGCUUCAUUGAACGUAGAAUUCUUUGAUGGAGGGGAAAGUAUUCUUCGAUUACUUAGUACAAAUAUACACAUUUUUGUUGUCAAGGGCUCGGCUAUUCUAUAUGGACAUGGUUUGUUCGACCGUUUGGUCCGAUAUAUCAUUUUCCUAUCCAGACCCCGUUCAGCACAUAUUGACUUCUCUGAGGAGGUGACCUUCCAAGGGGAUGCCCCUCAGUAUUCGAGGUUGAUUGAAGAGAAGACCUAAAUGCUUGUUGAGCCUUCCUUAGGUAGCAUAUAUAUGUUGCCUCGUUAAAACCCUCGUCGGUAAAACCCUUCUUGGGAUAAAAACCCGGUCGAAGGAAAAGAGUGCAACGUACGCUUUUGGAACCUAAGGCCUUCGAGUUAGAGAGUGCUUCGGCCGUUUCGAUCAGAUACCUAUACUUAGGUUAGUACAAAAUGUAGAUGAAAAAGAGAGACGGUCAUAUCUUAGUGUUGACGGUGUUUCGUGCCUCAAUAUGAUUCAAUCUUUUGUUACGAGGACGUGGUACAAUCAUGUUAUUAUUUAGUUAGGCGUAUCAGAGAAAGUAGCUUGUUAUUGCUAUUUUAUUGUUUGCUUAUCCUUUGUCAUCUUCGAUGGUGGAGGUAUUGGUGUCGGUGUCACAUCGUGCACUGCAAACAUCUCUUUCGCUGCAUGUUGUUCCCCGUAGUUGGUUUUUAUCCCAUGCUUUGUUGGAAAUUUCAUCAUUUGAUGGAGGGUAGAUGGUACUGCUCUCAUGCAGUGUAUCCAUGGCCUCCCGAACAAGGCGUUGUACCUCAUGUCUCAUUCUAUUUCAUGGAAUUUGGCAUUUUGGGUUGCGGCGGCCACGUUGACUGGGAGGGUGAUUUCCCCUUUCAUUGUUUCGCUCGCCAUGUUGAACCCGUUGAGAACUCGAGAGGCGGGCAUGAUUUGGUUAAGUAGUCAGAGUUGUUGUACUACUCUCGACCUGAUAAUAUUGGUCGAGCUACCUGGAUCCACAAGUACACGUUUAAUUUGAAAUGUAUUUAAAAGAAAAUAAAUUACCAAUGCAUCGUUAUGAGGCUGAGACAAGGUCUCGAUGUACUCGUUGCUAAAUGUGAAAGUAUCCUCGUGUACGUAACCUCAAGUUUGCUUUUCCCUGAUGAUGGAUAUUUUUGUUUUAUUGACAAUGGGUUCUUGCGGGAUGUCCAUUCCUCCAACGAUCAUGUGGAUGACAUGUUGUGGCUCAUCUAUUUCAUUUUUCCUGUUUGUUUCUCUUUCCCGAAAUUGAUUCUUAGCUCGGUUGCUGAUGAAUUCUUGGAGGUUCCCUUUGUUGAUUAGUCGAGCUACUUCUUUUCGGAGCUGUUCGCAAGGAAAAAGAUUGCCAAUGCAUCAUUGUGAGGUUGAUACAAGGUCUCGAUGUCCUCAUCGUUGAAUAUGAGAGCGCUCGAGUACGUAGCCUCGAGUUCGCUUUUCUCUGGUUAUGGAUAUUUUUGUUCUUCUGACCAUGGGUACUUGUGGAACGUCGAUGCCUCCCAAGAUCAUGUGGAUGAUAUGAUGUGGCUCAUCUGUUUCAUUCUUCUUGGUCGCCUCUCUUCCUGGAACUGGUUAUUGGCUCAGUCAUUGAGGAAUUCUCGGAGAUGACCUUUGCUGAGUAGUUCGCUACUUCUUUCCGGAGUUGCCAGCAAUCUUCGAUCCUGUGACCGUGUGUGUUGUGAAAUUCACACACUAAGUUAUGGUUCUUUUGCGAGGGAUAUCAUUGUAUAGGCCUUGGCCACCUAUCUUUGAUUUUACCAAUGGCGAAUACGAUGUUUGAAAUAUCGACGUUGAAGUUCUAUUCCGACAAGUGGGGUGCCUCCGUCGGACCUCUUUGCCUAUAGAACCCAACUCUGCUAACAAGUCACUAAGGAUUCUGGCCUUGAUCUAUCCUUUGGUCAUUAGGGGGUACGUUGCACCUUGGGGCGUUUCUUCUAUCUUCAGUGUAUGCUUGGUAUCUUUCUUUGUUUGGCUUUGACUCAUUUGCUAGAAGCUUGCUAGGAUAUACCAUGCCCGAGGGGACUCCUAGUUGGUCGUCUCCAUCCUUGAUCUUUAAUUGGUAUUGGUUGUGGACAUCAGACCAAGUCGCGGCAAGAUACUCGACUAAGUUCUGCUUCAGCUAUCUCGAAGGUAUCGAGUUCCGCUCGUUCAAACCUUGAGCGAAGGCAUGUACUGCCCAAUCGUCCGAGACCAGUGGUAGUUCCAUUCAUUCCAUUUGAAAGUGAGAUACAAAAUCUCGCAACAUCUCGUUCUCCCUUUGCUUGAUUUUGAAGACGUCAGAUUUCCUUAGCUACUUUGAUGGCACCGGCAUGCGCCUUUAUGAAAGAAUCUGCCAGCAUGGAAAAUGAAUCUAUAGAGUUAGGAGCUAGAUUGUGAUACCACAUCAUGGCCCAUUCGGAGAGUGUUUCUCCAAACUUUUUCAGCAUGAUGUUUUCUAUCUCAUCGUCCCUCAGGUUGUUGCCUUUCACCACACAAGUGUAAGCAGUGACGUGCUCGUUGGGGUCCGAGGUUCUGUUGUACUUCGGAAGGUCGAGCAUUCUGAACUUCUUUGGAAUGUGUUUUGGGGCCACUUCCUGCGGGAAGAACUUUUGUAUGAACUUCUUCGAAUAUACACCUUUCAGGAUUGAGGGUGCCCCCCGGAAUUUGAUAGACUCUACAGUUAUAGGUCUCUACCUUCUUGUCGUUGUCCUCUACCUUCUUCUUGCCCGAAUCGAUCCUCUUUGUGAGGUCCUUGAACAUCUCUAUGAUGGUGGGGUCGGCUACUGACUCGUUGUUGCUUGAUCUUUCUGGUACCUGUUCGGCUCGUGGAGCCGUUUCUGGUGCUAUCGUGUUGGGAGUUUCCUAGUGACUUUGCAGCUAAGCAAUCACCAGUUGUUUUGUAUGUCAUUUCAAAAAUAACGUGAAGGCUAACUUCCUAUUCUUCCCUAGCUGGGGUUUUUGAGAUUCUUGUGGAUUUCCUUAGUGUAUGCUCAUGUUGGCAUGGGAGCUUAUUUUGACGUGUUGAGCAUUGCGCGAGAUCAUGUCCACAGGAAUUGGUUCUGGUGCAUUCUCAGGGUUUUGUGGUAGUACACCAACACCUGGAACAUCCACACCAUUUUUUACAUGGUCCUCAAGAUUGUUGUUUUCACGUACGUUUACUGAAUUAGACAUUUUAACCUGAAAUCAAAGAGCUUGGACAAGAAAAAGUGUGAAAGGUAACUUGCGUUAUGGAGUGAACCAACAAGAAAAUGAUCACUAUUAUUUUUAUUCCCACAGUGGGCGCCAAACUGUUUACCUUGAAAAUGGUAAUUAUAAUUAUAUUUGACUUUGUGGUUCUAAGAAUAUGUGAUCUAUUUUUAUGCUAGUUGUUAGGCAAUAAAUGCUAAGUUAGAGAUUAGAAAAUGAGAUAACAACAUGUAGAUAAUGUAACAAUCAAACCUGAGUGGAUAGAGAUCGGGACCUCGAGCUUGCAUACAUGAGGCCUCGAAGUUGAAUCGGAUGCCUAGUCAAGGGCAGUCGAUGGAGGAUUAACAGUUAAGAUAGCUUUGAUGGAAGCCUUUUAUGACCAAUAAUGAGCAAUAAAUCAAGAACAAUGAAUAUAACACGAUGGAUAUAAACAAUAAAUGCAACUAAUAAGAUCAAGAGAAUAUGUUAAGUGAGAGAGCAGAGACAAUGUUCUUGUAUAUUCAAUAUAGAGUAUUCGAUGAUUUACAAAAUGACAAGGAUCCCCUUUAUAUAUGAGGGGGAAUCCCAACAUAAUACAAAUGCAGUUAUUACAACGAUAUGGAGUUGUUACUGCCAUUUAAUGUUAUGAUACGGGUUUGGACUAGCCUAAUAGACCUUGUCGGCUUUAGUUACGUGCCUUGGGAACCUCGCGCUAGUGCAUUGUUGCCGCUGACUUGCACUACCUCGAGGUCUAUCGUUGAGAAUCUUCGGGGCUAAAUCUCAAGUUGACGAUCGAGCCUUUUAAGGGCGGUCUUUACGAGGUGCUUUAAUGAUCGUAAAGUCGGACCACCGAUUUUUAUCGUGUACAAGAAAAGAGAUAAAAAGAAAAAAUUAAGAUAAAAUCUAUUUUUGGACUCUUUACGCGCCUAUUUUUGGAUGAAGCUCACUCCAUGUUCCACCUCACCAAGAAAUGUAUAAUUGGAAAAGUUUAGUGUAGUAUAAGUGCUUAAUAGGUACAACAUUAAGUUUAAGUGUUUAAAUGAAAACUGGUGCUAACUUUAAGUGUCUCCAGAUGUUUUCCGCCUGCGAAUUAUUUUUGUUCUAAUUGUCCCCAUAACUUGAAAAGUUGACACCUAAAGCUUUAGGCGAGUGAGAAUGAUGAAAAAAAAAUAUAUUUUUAAACCGUUAAUUACCUCAUAAUCCUGAAAUAAUGAUUUAUGAAGCAAUUACAAGAAAAUACACAUGACUUCACACCAUAACAAAAAAUGGCCCAUAUUUUUAAGUUUUACCCGAUCAAGCCCAUAUUGUAUAUAUUUUGAAAGCACCAGCAAACUCAAAUUUGUGUUCUUACAACCAAAUGCUUCUAAAAGCUAUGGAGUUAAAUUGUGUUCUCACAACCAUUGCUUUCACUCUCUCUUCUUUUCACAUCUUCUACAUAUGCAUCAGAGGGUCGUCCGCCAUUACUAUUUUACCCUAUGUGUCACCUGGUUACAAUGUAAGAAAAUUAAAGAGUAGAAGUCCAUCGUUGAAAGCCAUUCAAAGCUUUGCUUUCAAAAAUAAGAAUUGUUGAGUUUAUUAGAUGUUUGGAGUGGGUAUUGUUCCAUUGAUUAAAAAUAUCAAAUGGAGUUCAAAUUUUUAAAUUUGAAGUGAUUUGGAGUAGAUUUAAGCAACAUUUGAGUUAAAUUUCAGAAAAGACGCAAGGAAGAAGACGAAGUCAAUUUUGUAUAUAAUUAUGUAUAAUCUUGUAUACUAGUGUGUACGAGUGUACAAAGACAUCAUAUACUCUAUUAUACACCUUUAUACAAGUGUUUGUAGACGAACUUCUUCACGAUUUUUUGUUGCAAUUCUUGUUCAAAACCAGUCCAAAUCUCCCAUUAAAUGACUUUAAAUUUUAUGUACAACCUCCAUAUACUACUUCUAACAAGUCUAAAUAACACCCACUCCAAAUUUCUCGCAAAAUCAAAUUUGGAAUUUAAACCCACAUAUUUAAGCUUGUUAAAAAUAUAAUUUUUACCGCCCCAAAUGGAUUUGGUUUGUUGAACUAAUAUUUGAGUCACAUUUACUGAUUCGAAAAUUAACUUAAAAUCUUGAGCAAUUUUUUUUAAAAAUUAAAUAAUAAUUUUGAGAACCUAUUGGGGUUGAAUGUUGAGUAUUAGCCUAUUAUUUUGGUUUAUGUUGGUUGUAAAUUAAAAUAUGAGCUAUAAAAUUAAAAAGUGGGGAGCCCAAUUAUUCUUAUGUGAAAUUUUCUCAUGAUUUAUUUAUUUUUACUGUUUAUUUCUUCUGAUAGCUAUUUGUUCUAAAUGUGUUUUUUUUCACGACUAUAUAUUUUAACUGUUUAUUUUUCAACUUUUUUUUGAAGAAAUUUAUGUUUUUUCCUAGAGCUCCAAUAUUUUUAAGUAAUAAUAAAAUUUUAGUUGUAUAUUUCUUAUUAAUUGAUCUUUAAAGCUUGUUUGGAUGAUUAUUACCACUUGUAUUGUAUGGUAUUGUUACUUUAAAUAUAAUAAUUAUUUUGAUCGUUACAUAAAUUUUAGUAUUAUUAAAUCUGUCAUUAUGUAAUAAUAAAAAAUGCCACUUUAUAUAAGGAUCAAUUUGAUGCGGUCGGAUUGUUAUCUUAUCUUUUUUCCUGACCUUGCCUUUUGUUAUUAUUAAAUAAUUAUUUAUCCUACUUUUCUAUAUAAUAAUUAUAUUCAGUACCAUAAUUUUUUUUUUUGUAGUACUGUAAGUUUAAUCUUUUUAUUGCUGGUACACAAUAUGGUGAAACAACACAGAUAAUAUAAUUAUUUAAAUAUUAUAUUUAUUAAAUAAUAUAGUACAAUAUAAAAUAUAAAUAAUAAUCAUCCAAAGAAGCUGUUACAAGCAAUGACAAUUUGUUUCUAAGGUUUAUUUCUCCUUUACAACAACUUUGUCAGCAAGCGGGGCUGUCUUCCAAGUUCCAAGUCUAAAGUAAAAAUUGAAGUGCAACACAAGUUGGGUUUAUUUUUGUCCCUUCCCAAGCUCUGCAGAGAAGAACAACACCAGCACGAUCUUCAUCUUCUGGCGUCAUAUACUGUACAGCCCUAAUUGGAUAAAUAGCAGAAAUGUCGUGGUUGAAAUCUGCGAUGAGCAAAGCAGUGGAGGUUGGGAACAACAACCUCACCCGCACCGUAAAGAACUAUGCCGACUCUGUCGUUCAACAAGCCGGUCAAGCUGUCGCCGAGCUCCACCACCGCAUUGUAAUUUCUCCACUUCCCUCUUCUCUUCUUGUAUAUUUAUUUAUUACUACUUUUACAUAAAUAAACUUAGCUCACUAUAAAUCGAGUAUCUGGGAAAGAAUUAAGACCCAAGUGGAAUCCAAUAGAGUUAUACCAACCAGGGGCCUACGCCUGAUUUUUGGUAGGUGCGUGAUUUUUGGUAGGUGGUGUCGUUGUAUAGGUCAAAAUCCGAUCAAAGGAAUUUAUUUAAGGAAAGACGACCAGGAGUCAAAGAAACCGAAGUCACGUACAGGAAGCAUUAUAUUAGCGAACGACAUCGAGCACUCAAUUCAGCCCGAACAGCUAGUUCGACACUUAGGCAAUUUAGGGGAAUAUUCUAGAAGAUAUUCCAAGAACUUAGGCACUCCGGUUAAGGAUUUUGUAUAAAUACCGGGAGAGAAAAUAAGAGAACGGGGCUGAUGGAAACAGAGAGCUACAUGUAAAUCUCUCUGAAAGAGGGUAGGGUUUUUCUCCCCAAACUAUUUGCCAAAAGGAGGAUAAAUCUCAAGAUCUUGGUAUUGUAUCUGUAAUUCAACUUUAUUGAAUGUAUGGCUGUCUAUCUAGUUGAAGAAUGGUGAUUAUUUUUCCUCUAUGUACUUGUCAUUAUAAUUUAAUAUUAUUGAAGCCAUCUUCCUUUUCUCAUAUUAUUGAAUCCAAUUACGACUGUAAUCAAACUUUACGUCCAACCAUACUUGUUUAUUCUUGUCUUUCAUCUCAGAUCUAGAGUAAAUUAUCUCUGACUAAGAUUUAUCUCAUGUCUAUUUAUUAAAUUAGUUUAACAGAAAGAGCUUAAAACUUUUUGGUCGAACAUCAGUAUCCAAAGAAAACGAACAAAUGAAUAAAUUACUAUAAUGCCAAGCAGUGUCAUUUUUAUAUUUAUACCCACUAUUUUGAUUUUGUAUACUAUUUAUGUAUACUUACCUAACAAAAAUUUUGUGUCACGUGACACCUCUUGCCACAAGGUAUAUCCGCCUCUGCUACCAACGACAUUUCCAUAGUGUUCCUGUUAAAGAAAUGAAAUUUGGGCCUAAGUCAACCAUAAAAGCUAGCUUGUGAGGUGGUGAAUGCCCAAGAGCAUAUAAGGAGUCUAAGUGCCCAUCCCACAAACACAAUGUGGGACUCAACACCCCCACACGUACAAGACUGGACAUUUGGAGCGUGUACAAUAUAAUAUGGGGGCCCCUAAAGAAGAAAUGGGAUAGGCCUCAUUGGUACCAUGGUAAAGAAAUGGAAUAUGGGUAUACCUCAACCCGAAAAGCUAGCUCAUUAGGUAAUGAUUGACCAAGACUAUAUAAGGAGUCCAAGUGCCCAUCCCACAAAUGAUAUGGGACUCAACACCACUUAACUCAUACACUACCUUCUUCUCGGUACUACCCAAAUUUGUGCUCCACAGAUUUCUUGAUUGAGGAGCCUAAAUUGUGCUAGGUAGCGGGCAAGUGAGCGUGCGUGAUACUGUGAUAGAGAAUAUUGAGUCACGUGAGGGACGGAGAGGAAGGUGGUUGUAAGUUUGAGGGGUAGAGGAAGAGGAAAUCGAAUUUAGGCUCCUUAGUCUUGAAAUAUGUGGAGCACACAUGUUGGUCAUCUAAAUUGAAGCAGAAGGGUGAUUUGGAAUUGGUUAUUCCAGUGAAUAAUGUAGUGGAGGUCUUAUAGAAGACGGCUAAAAGGGUACAGUUUGGGUGCUUUUUGCAUAAGAAGCUAUUCAGGAGAGUGAAGAAAGAGGAGGAUAGUGAGAAGAAAGGUGUUGACUGAGGUGAGAGGGAACACCAUGGAAUUAGCAAUAGUGUUUAGACGUGAGAAGGAAUUUUUGAGUAUUAGCAAUGGACGGAGAGCCAUAUUUCUAAGCUCAAGUUGAAGGUGCAUCCAUGUUUUAUGUAAUUUUCUUAUUGGUAGAACUCGGUUGAAUCCAUUUUGGUUUUAAUUCUUUCCUGAAAAACUUGAGUUGUGUUAUGAAUAAUUUGUAUAUUGGAUACUACAUUGGAUGCUACAUUUGAUGCCCAUAUUGUGAAUAUCUUAAAGAUUAAAUCUCCUAUUUUAUGUUCAUCAUCUUUACUUNNNNNNNNNNNNNNNNNNNNNNNNNNNNNNNNNNNNNNNNNNNNNNNNNNNNNNNNNNNNNNNNNNNNNNNNNNNNNNNNNNNNNNNNNNNNNNNNNNNNNNNNNNNNNNNNNNNNNNNNNNNNNNNNNNNNNNNNNNNNNNNNNNNNNNNNNNNNNNNNNNNNNNNNNNNNNNNNNNNNNNNNNNNNNNNNNNNNNNNNNNNNNNNNNNNNNNNNNNNNNNNNNNNNNNNNNNNNNNNNNNNNNNNNNNNNNNNNNNNNNNNNNNNNNNNNNNNNNNNNNNNNNNNNNNNNNNNNNNNNNNNNNNNNNNNNNNNNNNNNNNNNNNNNNNNNNNNNNNNNNNNNNNNNNNNNNNNNNNNNNNNNNNNNNNNNNNNNNNNNNNNNNNNNNNNNNNNNNNNNNNNNNNNNNNNNNNNNNNNNNNNNNNNNNNNNNNNNNNNNNNNNNNNNNNNNNNNNNNNNNNNNNNNNNNNNNNNNNNNNNNNNNNNNNNNNNNNNNNNNNNNNNNNNNNNNNNNNNNNAAUAUCUUGUUCAUGUUUUACUAAAUCGCACGUUAUCAUCACGAGUCUCUAAAUAAUUGAGAUAAGAAAACAUAGAAUCAGUUACGUUGCCGGUGGAAACUCGAGUAUUUUAUAUGUGAAUCAAUUUGCUUCAAUUGUCCAGGAAGUGUCCCUUUCAUUUUUUCUAUAAAUCCUCACUUUAAUAUUUAGGAUUUAGCAUUUGGUAUUAUUUAUAUUACACAAAAUUACAAUAUUAUUUGUGCAGAAAAGUGAGUUGGUUGAAUCAAGAAGAACCAUAUGUAAGCUUACACUUUACUGGUUUUCAUUUAUUGAACUUGAAAAAUUUCCAAAGGUUUCAAGGGUGCUACAUCACUUGCAAAGUGAUCCGAAAAACAAAGAUUCUCUUAUCUAAAUAUUUUUUUUCUAUUUUCCUUUACUUAAUCUCGUAGCCUUACAAGUAUAUGCCAAUUGAUACGCUUUGGAACUGUUAUCACCCAUCACAUUCAUUUCUAAUAUUCUUAAUUAUAUUUCUUAGCAUAAUUGAUCUUUAAUAAUAGCUAAGAUUCUCAUAUAUAAGCUUUCGACAGAAAACUUGCUUAUCUUGAACUAUAACAGAGUUUCAUGAUAUGUUCCAAUUUUUUUUUUUUUUUUGGUUCGCUAACUCUUUCUUAAAAAAAAAAUGUAAUAAGGUAACUUACACUAUUUAUUUUAUAUUAGAUUACAAUAUAAAAUAUUGACUUAUUUUUGUGUUAUACUGCAGCCAAUUUUUGGAUUUGCCUAUGUCUAUCUAGGCAGACACUUUUUGGUAAUUUAUGAAAACUAUCCAGUCAAGCGUGGCAUAAGAAUUAGAAAUCUGAUUUUCAUUAAAAAAAAUAAAAUAAUAAUAAUAAUAAUAAAUAAAUAAAAUAAAAAUUGACAGUGUUAUAGAUUAAAUACAAGAAAGUUGCGUUGCUAAUAAUUGUCAAAGAUGUUUAAAAGCUCCAAGAUGAAUCUAGUAUAUUUUGGCAUAUUAUAUUAUUAAUUGAGGGUAAGACGUUGGGUUCAAGUCCCACCGCACCAUGAGGGUAAGACAUUGCGUUCAAGUCCUGAUGCUCCAUGAUAAUAAGAGUUGGGUUCGUGUCCCAACUAAAUAUGACCUAACAUGCUUUUAUACGGGUAAGACAUUGACUUGACUCCCAAUGCACCAUAUUGAAAAAUAGUGAUGACAAAAGAAAAAUAACAUAUUUUUCAUAGAAAAGCAUGAAGUUUGUCCCACUUGAUUUGCACCAUUCUCAAAUUAAAUGUGGUAACAGUGUAUACUAAGUCUAAAUGAAGACAAGUGCCAUUUGAUUUGCAUCAUUCUUGAAGUGAAUGUGGUAACAGUGUAUACUAAGUCUAAAUGAAGACAAGUGGUUGACCAAUGAACAUAGGCGUGCCAAAGACAAUAAUAAUAGUCAUCAUUAUGGUAAUUAUAAAAGGAGAACAAUAAAGAUUCUCAAAAUAGUCCUUCAAAAUAUGAAGGAAAUGUUUACCAUCAAAUUGGUAUGAAAAUAAUAAAGCACGUCACUGAUUUUGAUCCAUUCCUUGAAGAAAAUGUGACUUGUGAUAUGCAUUGAAUUGCAAACCCAUUCCUAUAUGUGAAUGUGGUAAUAUGUGAUAAAAGUAAUGAAUAAAGGCAUGCAAGGCUCAGACUAUAGAUGAAAGGAUUAUUGAAUAUCUUAAUAUUUCUAUAAUCAUACCUGGUAAAUAUGAAAUGUUACCCAGUUUUCUUUCUAUUUGUACUACACAAAUAUAAGCAUGAUGCUUGAAACAUAUGCCACAAGUAAACUAGAGGUUUACUAAAAUAAAUAUAGUUAGCAUAACCGGUUGACCAUCCCGGUUCAAUUAUGAUGCGAAAAAUUAAUUGAGAAUUCCAUUGGCGUAUAUUGAAGAAUAGAAGAUUCUUCAAGAAUUCGUUCAGAUAUAAAUAAAAGGAAUAUUGAAUAUCUUCAUAUUUCUAUAAUCAUACCUGGUAAAUAUGAAAUGUUACCCAGUUUUCUUUCUAUUUGUACUACACAAAUAUAAGCAUGAUGCUUGAAACAUAUGCCACAAGUAACUAGAGGUUUACUAAAAUAAAUAUUAGUUGGCAUAACCGGUUGACCGUCCCGCUUCAAUUAUGAUGCGAAAAAAUUAAUUGAGAAUUCCAUUGGCGUAUAUUGAAGAAUAGAAGAUUCUUCAAGAAUUCUNNNNNNNNNNNNNNNNNNNNNNNNNNNNNNNNNNNNNNNNNNNNNNNNNNNNNNNNNNNNNNNNNNNNNNNNNNNNNNNNNNNNNNNNNNNNNNNNNNNNNNNNNNNAAUUCUCAUGAUAUACCAGUUAAGGUUGGGAUUGAAUCCCUUGAUUUCUGAAACGAAUAAAAGGUGAUAAAUAUAUGGGCCCAGUCACCUGCCAUGUGUACCGUUUACUAUUAUAUAAUUUUAAUAGAUGCAUCUAUUCUAUGGUCACAUGUGAAUUUGUUAUCAACUUGCAGUUUGGUUUUUGCAAGAUUACUUGCUCAAAUUAUUAGAGCACAAUUUCAGAAUAUAAAUUAUGAUGAUUUAUCUUAAUAAUACUUGUUUAAAUCCAAGUUGGUUUAGCAGAAAUUGUAUGCCUCCAAUUAUAGCUAAAUCAUUGGUUACGAGAACAAAACUCUCAAAAACGAAAUUUUGUAUGAGAUGUAUUAUUUGAUAUACAACUGCACUUGUUCGCAUCUAGCCAAGUUAUGAAAAUUUCCCCUAUCACAAUCGGUUCAGGGUCAGGNNNNNNNNNNNNNNNNNNNNNNNNNNNNNNNNNNNNNNNNNNNNNNNNNNNNNNNNNNNNNNNNNNNNNNNNNNNNNNNNNNAACCAAAUAAUUUCUAUAUAGAAAUAUGUAUGUUCUAUAUGAUUUAAUUAUGCCACCACAAUGCACAAAGAUAGAUUCCCACGGAAGGUUGUGAAAUGUGCUGGUGAUCCCAACAUUUGGGGGAGAAAACGGCUGCUGAGAAAGUAAUACGUGAAAUGAAUUAUUAUGUAUACAUAUAGAUCCUCACACAAGAAAAUACGAACUUGAAGUUCAAGUGAUAAUUCAUUUACAAAUUAUUGCCAUACGCAUUUGCUGACCCAAAGCUAAAUGUCAUAUUUCAGCUGCUAAUGCUCCAAACAGAAUAAAAUUCAUGGGGGACAGAGUAUAUGUCAUGCAUAAAGCAUAGCAUAUCAAUCGGUUCCAAAGAUAAACUCCUUGAAGAAGGAGAAAUGGCAAGGAGGCAAAUGCUCUAGAAGAGCACCACGACAUAAAACUUCAUAAGACCUCAUGGGAGAGGCUCAGGUACCUGAAAUAACGAGAUAAAAAGAUCUCAAUAAGUUAUGUCUGUAUUAGGUAAUAAUGGAACCGACAUAAAGUGAUCGACGACGAUAUUGUUAAUAUAAUGUAGCGCUCAAUAUUAUUAAUAUUGACGAGGAUCUUGAGCUCNNNNNNNNNNNNNNNNNNNNNNNNNNNNNNNNNNNNNNNNNNNNNNNNNNNNNNNNNNNNNNNNNNNNNNNNNNNNNNNNNNNNNNNNNNNNNNNNNNNNNNNNNNNNNNNNNNNNNNNNNNNNNNNNNNNNNNNNNNNNNNNNNNNNNNNNNNNNNNNNNNNNNNNNNNNNNNNNNNNNNNNNNNNNNNNNNNNNNNNNNNNNNNNNNNGUAUUCUUGUGUGAAAAAGGUCAAAUCGAUAAACAUAAAGACGACUUGUGUUACAGGAAGAUUGAAAAUAUCCUGGCAUUGAUUAUAUAGAGACAUGUUGUCUUGUGGUGGAUGUAGUCAUUUCAGGUUUUAAUACGGCAAUACAUAAAAAAAAAACUUGAUAUGCGUAUAAUGGAAAUCAUUGAAGGAUUUAAAUUGUUCUGAAGCAUAUUAUGAUUUUCAAGAAAUUUAUUAAAUAAGNNNNNNNNNNNNNNNNNNNNNNNNNNNNNNNNCGGCAAUACAUAAAAAAAAAACUUGAUAUGCGUAUAAUGGAAAUCAUUGAAGGAUUUAAAUUGUUCUGAAGCAUAUUAUGAUUUUCAAGAAAUUUAUUAAGUAAGGCUUCAUUAAUCCUUAUGCGGAUUGACAGAAUAUGGGCGCAUAUGGUAUAAUCGCCCCAGAAAAUACUUGUUGAAAGAAGAGUACAAGAAUAAUUCAAUUUGUCCUUGUACCUUUAUAAAAGGAUCUGGAUUUGAAUUUGUUAUAAUGAAAGAUCUUAGAAAGAUAAAAUUUUAUCUUGGUCUACAAAUAUGAAAGAUGAAAUUUUUGUCCAUCAAUCAACAUACACAGAAAAUAUUUUAAAGCGAUUCUACAUGGAUAAAGUACAUCCAUUGAGUACCCUGAUGGUUGUGUGCUCACUUGAUAUAAAUAAAUAUUCAUUCCGACCUCAUGAAAAUAAUGAAGAACUUCUUGAUCCUGAAGUACCAUAUCUUAGUGNNNNNNNNNNNNNNNNNNNNNNNNNNNNNNNNNNNNNNNNNNNNNNNNNNNNNNNNNNNNNNNNNNNNNNNNNNNNNNNNNNNNNNNNNNNNNNNNNNNNNNNNNNNNNNNNNNNNNNNNNNNNNAAACUUUUUUAGUUAAUGUCUUAGCAAGAUAUAGCUCUGCCUCUACAAGGAGGCGAAUGGGAUUAUACACAUAUUGCGGUAUCUAAAAGGGACUACCGAUAUGAGAUUAUUUUAUGGCAGUGAUUACAAUCCCGAUUUUGUUGGUUAUGAUGAUACAGGGUAUUUAUCUAACACAUACAAGGCUUGAUCUCAAACAUGCUAUGUGUUACAUAUGGGGGUUGUUUGGGUGAGUUUAGUCAGUAUUCCUGGCCAUGAUUGUGCUUUAGUAACUUUGGUAUUCAUUAUGUUUUAGCUUAUUUUGUAUCUGUUGGCUAGGCAUUGAUUGUCAAGAUAUUACUGUAUUUGGUUACUUGCAGACUGUGUCGGCAUUGUCAUAUCUUGACAACCAACUAAGCAAUCAAUCAUGGAUACUUCAUCUAAUCAUGCUGAGAUAACUGCUAUUCAUGAAGCAAGUCGAGAAUGUGUGUGGUUGAGAUCUAUAACGCAUCUUAUUCGAGACAAAAUGUGGUUUGAAAUGUGACAAACUACCCACAAUUUUGUAUGAAAAUAAUGCAGCAUGCAUAGCUCAAUUGAAGGGAGGAUUCAUAAAAGGAGAUAGGACAAAGCACAUUUCACCAAAGUUAUUUUUCAAACAUGAUCAUGGCCCAAGGAUGUGAAUUGAUGCUCUUAUCAGGGGGAGUUAAUGCGUGUUGCACUCUUUUUUCCUUACAAGGUUUUAUCCUACUGGUUUCCUUGCAAGGUUUUUAACGAGGCAACAAAAGGGCAUAUUUCUAUACAUGUGUACUCUUUUUCCUUCACUAGAAUUUUUUUCUCAUAGGCUUUUUUUUUUCCUAGUAAGGUUUUAACGAGGCACAUUAUCCAUGGACAUCCAAGGAGGAGUGUUAUGAAUAAUUUGUACAUUGGAUACUACAUUGGAUGCUACAUUGGAUGCCCGUAUUGUGAAUAUCUUAAAGAUUAAAUCUCCUGUUUUGUGUUCAUCAUCUUUACUUUUUAUACCUAUAAAAGGCCAUGUAAUUGCAAUGGAGAUGUACACACAAUUGAAGAAGAAAAUUUCUUCCUUCUCUCUAUCUAUAUUUCUUGUUCAUGUUUCACUAAGUUGCUUAUAUUUCUUGUUCAUGUUUUACUAAAUUGCUUUCAUUUUAUAACAAGUUGUUGAAUGUUGCUCAAGAAUAGUGCUACGCUUAUCUAAAAUUAGGCUUGGUAAUUUCUGACGAAUUGGGUAUUGUGGAAUAUUCUACUUCACAAAAUGCGGGAACCAAAUAACCAAGUCCUGAUACUAGGGUGAUGGACUGAUGGGCCAACUCGUCUGUGAGUAAAACUGUAAAAGAAAGCUUGAUUCUUGACCCGAAGUGGGUUUUCUGAUAAAGUUAGAGAUUUGUACGCCAUGCAGGGGUAAAGAUCCCUGAACUUCUAUUCCUCGUUGAUAUUGCAUUUUGAUUUGAGCUCUGUUUAUAAGGACUAUGGAGUUUUAUGCAUAUCACACCUAGACAGUGUCAACAUUACAGAGUAUAAAUUAAAUAGCUGGAAAGUAAAAUGAAAAAAUCUCAACACUCGGUGAGGAUGCCUACUGGUAAAAAGUUUGAGUAAUAACCGGAGUAAACUAAGGUUCAAAUUGUGGGAGAGAUGGCACUAAGUUAACUCUUUCUAUCUGUGUAAGUCUGGGUGAGUGUUUGUGCUUGUGGGAGGUAGCAGUUACUUGGUGGAUUAGUUGAGUGCGUGAAGCUGGUCUGGCUCUGCCAUUAUUGAAAAGAAACAAAAGGUAGCUAAAAGAUCAACCGAAUGAUAUGAAUGAAACGAAAGAUCUUCUUUGAAGUAGAACUACCAAAGUGGCACUGGAGCAUACCAAAGAAAAAGGAAAAGAAAGAGCAAAAAGGAGCUUUUCACUGCAUCUUGGGUAUAACAGCAGCAGCAGACUCUAAAAUAAUAACUACGGAGAUAAUGCAAGUGUAGUGAUAUAUCAAAGAACAGAGAACAUCCUGAUAUAAGCAGGCAAGAGAGUGUUAUUGUAUUGUAGUCCUUGAAAGAAAAGGAAACAAACUUGUUUUAUUGUUUAGCAUUAUGAUAACUGAACUAAGAAAAGUAAGAAAUAUAAGCAGCAGAGCUCAAAUGGAGCUUAACAUGGUUAUGAACUUCUGAAAUACUACAGGAACUGUUUUUAUAUUUGGGCUCUCUUUUGCUUGGACUCCAUUUCUUAUUUGUAACUAAAGAGUUAACUAGAUGAUUUAAUGUUUAUACCAGGGGAAUAGGAACUUCAAAAACUUCAAACAGACGGUAAAAAGAUUGGAAGAAGCUUCUGUUUCUUGCAGGGGAACAGAGAGAGUUCGAUUGAUGAAAAUGUGGUUAGCUGUACUUAAAGAAAUUGAAAAGAAGACUGGGGUUUCUGCUGAAGAUAAGGAUAAGAUCAAUGAGCAGCAGUAUCCUUCUGAAGAAGCAAAGGAGAAUCCAAGAAAACAAUCUCUGGUGAGUAAAUUGACCUUCCAUGCUCUUUCUCUUUUGCCUUUCCUGUUUUGUGAUGAGUAAAAGACCUUUGCUGUUUUGUAAUAUUCUAGAAUUAUUCUGUUCUUCAGUUUGGGAUUUUAUGUGCAUUGAGUGAGAUAAUUGCAUGCUUUAAUAGUUUGCCACAGAUUCAUUUGUGCUAUUUUAUCUCAUGGAAUAAGCUGUUGAGGAAUUUGUUCAUUGUGUCUAGUAUUCUCCUUUUUGAUAAGGUGUAUCUAGUGUUAUCAAAGGCGAAAAGCGCAAAAAAGCUCUAAGCUUUGUUGGGGCAUUUAGCGCAAAGCGCAAAUAAAGUGUGGGCUUUAAUGAUAAAAGGCGCAACGGGAGAAAAAGUAGAAAUAUGUAUUUAUAGUCCAAGACUAAUAAUUAUAAGCAUGAAUAACAAAUAUAUUGACAAAAAAAUUGAAUUCUUUUUUACGAUAAAGUGAAAUAUCAAUUGUUUAAUGUCGCAUUUUCAGGAUUACACUCAUUGGUAAGGAAAAGUAUGUCUUAGAGCCUUGAUGCGACAGUAAAGUUCCCACAAAGCGAGUGGAAGCGCUCAACAUAUUUUGAGCCUCGCUUCAGGGCUUAAGCGCGACUUUGACAACACUGGAUGUAUCCAAGAGUCCCUUAAAUGGCUCUUUUGCUGGUUCUGAAAUAAAUAUCAAAGUAGUGUCGGUUGAGUGUAUAGAUUCCACUCCCUUCAAUCCUUUUAUGCUGCUUUUGAUCACUAAGCAGCAGCUGGAUCUUGUUUUGAUUGUGGAACUCCUGACACUAGUUUUAUUUGCUACGUACUAAAGCUGCUAGUCCACUAUUCUUAGCUCAAUUUCUCUAGAGCUUGAUUCAUAUACCAUCUUCAGUCCAGUAAUAGUUAGUGCAGCUCACGAGAAACCAACAUGACAGAAACCGAUGAAGCUGAGCAUGUUUGAUAAAACUUCUUUUUCCACAAGCUUAUUUUGGAAGCAAAUCUGAACGGAUAUCGGAUUGCCUUUGGUUGUUUUACAAUGCAUAUCAAAAUUUGCUGAUCCUGAUCUGUGGAUAAUUUUCUGCUUGUUAGUGAAUAGUUUUAGAGAAAACUCCAAGCUUUAUAUAUUGUGCUAGUUGUCGUGAAAGCAAUCACCUCAAUUAAAUACGGACGGUUUUAAUUGAGGUGAUUGCUUUCAUGACAACUAGCAUAAUAUAUAAAGCUUGGAGUUAUCUCUAAAACUAUUCACUAACAUGCAGAAAUUAUCCACAGAUCAGGAUCAGCAAAAUUUGAUAUGCAUUAUAUAUAUAUAUAUUAACCCCUCCCCAGGAGCUCCCUACUUUGCUCUCUGGUGACUCGAACCCACAACCUCAGGAUUGGAGGUGGAGGAUGGUUACCACUGAGCAAUCCUCUCUUGUCAACUCUUUUGAUUGUGGUCCCCUUGUCUCUCUUAUUAGUUGCAGGUCUUGUACUUGUGUUGCUUAGAUGGAGAGUAAACUCAAUCACAUUGUUCCAGUAUUCUUUUCUCUUAUGGUUAUAUGUUGUUUAUUGUUGAUUGGAUUCUCAUGAUUCACCCUUCAGAAAGCUUAUAACCUCAAUAUACUUGUUUCAUACAGAUAGCUUUAUCCCUUAUGUCCAAUUUUGAUAGGUUCUCUAUUAUGAUUCUGAGAUGGGUGGUGAACCAAUGAACUUUCGUGACGUCUUUCUUUACAGUCAAGCUUUGGAGGGCAUAUCAAUAUCUAUGGUAUGUAAAUAAAUAUCUUUAGGCCGUGCUUGGUUUGCUAAAGAAGCUACAUACCGUUUUAGUUCCCUUUAACAAUUCUGUUGCUAAGUUUUCAUUUUCAUGUUUGCUUUGAUCUUUCCAAAUAAAUGCUUCUUAAGAAACAUUUUCCGUUAAAGCUCUUAGGUUGAAGAAUGAAAGUUUCGAUUUAGACAACUACUCCAUCCGUUUCAGUUUAUGUGACGCAGUUUGACUUGACACGGAGUUUAAGUAAAAAAAAAAAAGACUUGUAAAACUUGUGGUCUCAGACAUGCUUAUAAUAUUUGUAUGGCUAUAAAACGUAUGAAACUUGUGGUCUUAAACGUCUCGUAGUAUUUGUGUGGCAAUAAAAGCUUCUCAUUAAAGGUAAAAUGGGUAAAGUAGAAAGCUUAUAGUUAAAUUAUUCCCAAAUAUAGAAAUGUGUUACUCUUUUUUAAACAGACUAAUGAGGAAAGUGUGCAACAUACAUUGGAAUGGAGGGAGUAUUAUUUUAUUUGAACAAAGACAUAUAUGGAGAAUGGAUGGUGUUUCAGUUUCAUCGUUCCAGAUAGUGUAGUGUCCUUCUUUUCUCUUAUGUAUGUAAUUUGCCUGAUAUCUAGCUCUCAAGAUUGCUGAUUACGAAGGUUAACAACAGGUUUACUCUUUCCUCUGAUUCAGAUUCUUGAAGCGCCAAAUGAAGAAGAAGUCUCUCUCCUGCUUGAAUUGUUUGGGUGAGUUUAGUCAGUAUUCCUGGCCAUGAUUGUGCUUUAGUAACUUUGGUAUUCAUUAUGUUUUAGCUUAUUUUGUAUCUGUUGGCUAGGCAUUGAUUGUCAAGAUAUUACUGUAUUUGGUUACUUGCAGACUGUGUCUCACUGGAGGGAAAGAGGUUCACUAUGCAAUAGUCAGCAGUAUCCAGGAUCUGGCAAAAGCUUUCUCAAGCUACCAAGAUGAAGUAUUGGUAAAGUCAAAUAGCCCUUACUGUAUUUUAUCAGUAGACAACCAUAAUUGGAACUCUAUGUACUUUUGUACUUUCCGUCCUAUAGUUUUCACUGCAGGACUAUGUCUCACUGAGGCUGAAACGUGUUGUGAAGUUCAGUUGUGAGACAUCAUUUAUCUAAUCAUUUCUAAAAUUUUACACUCUGGUUGGUUAACUAAACUAGACCACCAACUAAAUCAGAGGCCAAUUUAUCCUAAAGUGUACUGACAUCUGCAUUUGGUCUGAUAACUAAUCGUAUCUCCUUAAAAACAUCUCAACUAGCUUUAGGUCCAGUUCACCAAAUACUCAAUCUGUGGAAAAGGAAAAUUCCGUCUCCUUGAAACCAUUGCGUAUUAAUUUAUGAUAUUAUAGAUGCCCCACAAUACUUAUAAGAUCUAUUUGCAGAUGUCCUUGACCAGCCACGUUGUGAACCACUUUACUUGAAACAUUGUAGUUUCCCCAAUGGCUUGGUGUCUGAAGUUUGUCUCUAAGAUUGCCUACAUUCUCCAUGUCUUUCUUUGUUCUGAAUGUUUUUAUCUGUGUUCCAUCUAGACCCAGUGAGAUUCUUAGGCUCUUCCAGGUUCAUUUGCACAUUUCUAUUACAUUUUCUGCCUGUUCCGUCUGUGGAUCAAAUUUGACUGGGGUGGGAACACUAGGAGAACCUUCAGACGUUGUCAUACUUUGUUUUACCAUCUGCUUGCGGUCAGGUGAAAAUGUAUUUAUGUGCUGUUGAGCCUUGACGACCUCAAGGAAUUAAUGCAGUUCUAUUCGCUCCACUCCUUCCAUUUUUCAGAAGCUAAUUUUGCACUUGUUUUCCAAUGCCCGCUUUCACCUAAUCUAUUUUUCUAACAUGUUUAACUUUUUAGGUAAUAUCCCCCUUUGUUAUCACACGAUAGAUAACAACAACAACAAGAAGACCCAUCGUGGUCCAGCCCUUCCCUAGACCCUGCACAUAGCGAGAGCUUAGUGUACCGGGCUGCCCAAUUAAUAAAAUAUUACCUAAAGACUAAAAAUUACUGUCAUCUUUCUCUCCGUGAAAAAAUAAUUUUCUUUUGGCAGGUAAAGCGAGAGGAGCUGCUCCAGUUUGCAGAAAGUGCUAUCACAGGUUUGAAACUUAAUGCAGAUCUUGGGAGGUAAUUUCUUGCUAGGACACUUCACGUUCUUGACAUCUUUGUGUAUUUUAAAGCCUGGCUGUCUGGAGCCAAAUAUUUUUGAGAUGGAGCUGCCAUGUAUUAUGAGCUUUGACCGAUGCAAUUGGGUAUCUUUAGGCGAUCUUAUUUAGGUGAGAGGGGAAGUUUUGUGCUGCUUGUUCUCUAUGAUACAGAAAAUGAUAAUGUGUUUAAAAACAAAACUUUAAGUUAUUGCCUUUUUUCCUUUUUGUCCUCUUCCUUUUUUCGUUAAUGCAAAUGAAAUCAUAAUUGUAGCCUUUCUUCUUCCAUUUUGUGUUUUUUGUGGAGUAACUAUCAGUAUACCAAAAUAAAUGUCAGUAUCAGUGUUCAAUUUGUGAAUUGUCCCAAAAGGAAGGAAAAUUUAAUUUGUGGAGUAUUGUAAAUAAGGGUCAUAGUCAAGUUCCUGAAUCAUGAGCAAGGAAUCAUACAAUAUUUUUCUUAUUUUUCAUAUGUUUGUUGUCUACUUAAGUCCGAAAAAUACCGCACUUGUAAAUUCACAGCUGAAGCUCAGUUUUAGAACCAGUUCUUGUUAAAUCUUCUUAUAAGCACAUAAUACAUUGUGAAAAAUGUUUAGACUUGUCAGGAACAGGUUAUAAGUUGACUCAUCAUUCAUCUUUCUUCCGUGCAGAAUUGAUGCUGAGGUCUCAUUGUUGAAGAAAAAACUUGAUGAAAUAAAAGCAGCAAAGGACCCAAAUGGUGAGGGUCAUGAAAUGAUGUCUCAAGAGACUGUUGCUUCAAUAGAGGUGAACCUUAUUGCUGUUCCAUUGUGUCCUUUUGCUCCAUCUGCAUUUUAGGUGGCAUAAUGAAACUGAGCAUGCCAUUAAGAAGUUUAUUUGAAUUGCAAGUUCUUGUAAUUGCAUGCUUUAUAAAGAAACUAUCAUUGUAAAAUUAUUUGACAUUGAAUGGUUAAUUGAGUUUACAUUAUUGAAACAUGUGAAUGUAUUUCAUAAAUUUGGAUUGGUUAUUUUAUUUUCAUCUGUAUUUGAAGAAUGUAACUGGACUACAACAACAACAACAACAACAACAACAACAACUACCCAGUAUAGUCCCACAAUAUUCAGGUGUUAUUCUCCAUUUUUGUUCUGGUUCUUGCCAGUCUGUUAACUCCCUAUUCUGGAAUAUUCAGGAAAUAAUUCCUCUUUCGGAUUUCUAAAUAUGUUCUGUGACUGUCUUCUAAGAUGAUAGAAUAGAUGGUUUACAUGCAUGUGAUAUAAGAUAUCUACUGUCUAUCUCUAUUUGAGCUCACUUUUCUAGUUUUCAGAUUUAACUCCUUUUCAGGUAUCAGAUUUAACUCUAUUUAGCUCACUUUUCUGGUUUUCAUGAAAAGAAAUUCAUGGUCCUGGUCUUACUCUUAUUUAAAAGAAGCUCUUAUGGUUCUAGUUUUACUUGUUAAAAAAACUUUCUUGUUGUAAUUGUAGACCUUUGUAAGGUCUUAUAAAUUUUGUAUGAGGUUACUGCAUGAGAGAGCUUUCCCGUUUGCAUCAACAAUGGUCAUUUGCACUUAAAAUGGUUGGUAUGUUACUGUGCCUCACCUAUCAACAUCACCACAAAUAGAAUUCUCUCUGGGCCUUACUUUCAGGAGUUUUGGUUUUAUCUUGUGGACCUGAUAAGAAACUGAAAGUUUGUGAGAAAAAUGUCUCUUAGUACUUCAUAAAUUAGGCUAACACUUUCUUUUUUGUUUUGUCGUUAGAAAUAGAAAACUUGAUUGAACACAACAGUUUUCAUUUUAUUUAUAGGCUCUGAAAGAAGCACUUGCACAUAUUCGGAUUUGCUCUAAAUUAGAAGGGCUUCUACUGAAGAAAAAAGCUCUGAAAUAUGGGGACUCCCCUGAAGUCCAUGUUCAGAAGGUACACCACUCCUUUUACCGAUUACUUUAAAAUGUUGUUUUCUGAAAACAGGAACUUUGGUUCCCCGUUUGGGAAAUUGCAUUUUGCUCAUCUUUUCAUUUGAUGUAUUGUUUGUUAUAACUGCAUCAGGUGGGCAACAAACACUGAAUAAUAUGUAUGUCCAUAUUGUUACUGUCUAGAUUCCAUUAAAAUCAUUACUCCUGACCUACUUUGUGAAGUUCUCUACCAUUGUUGUGUAUGCCAUCUUUUUAAUUUGAUCUCACUUCUCUCAUGAUAAGUUUCAGUGUCAUAGAAAUCUUAAUCAUUUCCCAGUCCUAACUAUUCUUUGUUUUCAGUGGGGCAUAUGUUCUACUUACACAUCUACAUUUUGUCAACUUGCUCCUUUUAUUUCUAUCCUUUCUGCUCCUCUGUUUUAAUGAAGGAGAUUGGAGUUCGAAGGUUGUAGCAUUUAAUUUGUUGUCUCAAUUCAGACAUGAUCUCCUAAUUAUUGAACAGUAAUUUUAAACUAUGGUAACUACAUAAAAAGUAUUAUAGGUCAUGAAUUUUUAUGAAUUAAUUUUUUUAUCAAAUGUAUAUAAAGUUGUCGUCCAAUGAAAAAUAUUUGACUCUCCAAAAAGUAUCAGUCUAAUAUAAAAGGAAACAUAGGGAAUAUCUGUUAGGAAAUAUUUUGUUAGUGGUAGUAUCGAGCAUCUCUUUUCAGCUUUGCCAUCUUUUGUAUUAUAUUCCAAUUUUGUUAGUGGCCAGUGAAGAACUCUCAUGUUCAGAGAAUGAAGGUUGCGGAGAUGAGAAUGCUCAGGUGGNNNNNNNNNNNNNNNNNNNNNNNNNNNNNNNNNNNNNNNNNNNNNNNNNNNNNNNNNNNNNNNNNNNNNNNNNNNNNNNNNNNNNNNNNNNNNNNNNNNNNNNNNNNNNNNNNNNNNNNNNNNNNNNNNNNNNNNNNNNNNNNNNNNNNNNNNNNNNNNNNNNNNNNNNNNNNNNNNNNNNNNNNNNNNNNNNNNNNNNNNNNNNNNNNNNNNNNNNNNNNNNNNNNNNNNNNNNNNNNNNNNNNNNNNNNNNNNNNNNNNNNNNNNNNNNNNNNNNNNNNNNNNNNNNNNNNNNNNNNNNNNNNNNNNNNNNNNNNNNNNNNNNNNNNNNNNNNNNNNNNNNNNNNNNNNNNNNNNNNNNNNNNNNNNNNNNNNNNNNNNNNNNNNNNNNNNNNNNNNNNNNNNNNNNNNNNNNNNNNNNNNNNNNNNNNNNNNNNNNNNNNNNNNNNNNNNNNNNNNNNNNNNNNNNNNNNNNNNNNNNNNNNNNNNNNNNNNNNNNNNNNNNNNNNNNNNNNNNNNNNNNNNNNNNNNNNNNNNNNNNNNNNNNNNNNNNNNNNNNNNNNNNNNNNNNNNNNNNNNNNNNNNNNNNNNNNNNNNNNNNNNNNNNNNNNNNNNNNNNNNNNNNNNNNNNNNNNNNNNNNNNNNNNNNNNNNNNNNNNNNNNNNNNNNNNNNNNNNNNNNNNNNNNNNNNNNNNNNNNNNNNNNNNNNNNNNNNNNNNNNNNNNNNNNNNNNNNNNNNNNNNNNNNNNNNNNNNNNNNNNNNNNNNNNGGGUUGGGGUAGGGGUAAGGCUCGUCUACAUAUUACCCUCCCCAGACCCCACUUUGUGGGAUUAUACUGGGUAGUUGUUGUUGACAGACAAAUUUGGUCAGCAUGUCCUAGUUCCUUUAAAGUUCUAGAAAUGCUUCAUCCAAUUUGUUUUGGUAUAGAAAUUAGUUUAUGGAAAGAACAGGUGGAUCGUUAUGCAUUAAUGAGUAUGAGGCCCAGUAUUUUCGUCAAAGUUCAUCCUUUCUUCUACAGUUGUUCCUUGCAUAUUUCAUAAGAUUAUGGUACAUGACUGUUUGCAGGUUGAUAAGUUGAAAGUCUUAUCUGAAUCUCUUGCUAGCUCCACCUGCAAAGCUGAAAAGAAGAUCUCCGACCACAGGUUGGAAGUGCAUAUUUCAGUUGCUAUGUCCUUGUGCUUUAUUAAUCCCCUUGUAAAGCGGCAAACCUUAUCCCCAAAAAAGAAAAAAAAAACCAAUCCUUGUGUUUCAUUAAUCCCCUUGUAGUGGCAAACCUUAUCCCAAAAAAGAAAAAAAAAAACCAUAUGUAAAGUCGCAAAUUGUUCGUUUCAUCACUAAACAAGCACCAUCAUGCAAUCUCCAUUUUUAUUUGUGUUGCCAUUUGGUGAGAAAGAGCUGCCUCUAUAAAGGAUCUGUAUUCGUUUUGCCUCUAACUUAGCUUAAACUCAUUUAUCACAUAGAGUUGUUUCCACAAGCCAUAUAUAUGCUAAAUAUCUGUCUUGCAUGUGUUUUAAGUUUUAUACACCACGAGCUUACUUGGUUUGCAAACAAGAAUAUUUUUGGGGGUGAGGGUGGGGGAUUUUUUUUGAUAACCAUGGUGUGCAAGGUAGCUUGUGUGCACCUCGAUUAAUUCGACGGGAUACUUGGUACCUCCCAUCGGCACAAGUAUCGGUAAAUCUAUCAACCAAGGCUUGAAUAUAUGGGAAGAAUUUUUUUGUCUUGGCGGGGAUUUAAACCUGAGACCUCAUGGUUCUCCUUCCAUUUUAUUGACCUCUAGGCCACACCCUUGGGUGCAGGAUAAUGCAUCAUAUUUGCGAGGGGUUUAGAUGAUAACUUCUGUCCUAUGCUUGGUAAUGUGAUUAAAGAUUAUUAAAACGGGAUCUGAUAUUUGAAUGAUGGCAUCACUUAAUAAUGAAUUGUGUGAACUGUUUUGGCUGCUACUUGAUUCUUAAUGUGCACCUACAUAGCUAGCUGAUUUAUUAUCAUUAUUUGUUGUUGACAGAAGUCAGAAAGAGGAGGCACUAAAAUUCCGUGUGACCAAGACUAGCGAAGUUGGUGAAAUAGAGAAGGUAAUAUGCUUGCACGAUGUUACAUUAUAGGCGAAGUGCUUUUGCACCAAUCGUGGUUGAAGAGUAUAUAAAUAUAGAUUUCUGUGAUUGCUUGGCCUAAAGGGGGUUUGGGGUUCAUUUGCUUGGUUUCAGGAAUUAGCGACAGAGGUUUCUGCACUGGAGAAACAAAGAGAUGAGAUUGAAGCUCAGUUGAAACAGGUACUCUGUUGUUGACGGAAGGCAUUCUCUUGGUGACUUCUUUAAAUGCCAAAUAUAGUAAAGAAGUUUCUCUGGUUUAAGGAACAUGGGAUAGAGAAUUUGAAAAAUCUUUUUGAUUCUUUUGACUUGUUGAGUUGUCCCACAUCGGAGGGAUUUGAGGUCCUUGGUCUCCUUAUAUGGCUUGGNNNNNNNNNNNNNNNNNNNNNNNNNNNNNNNNNNNNNNNNNNGGUCCUUGGUCUCCUUAUAUGGCUUGAGCAAUCCUCACCUCAUAAGCUAGCUUUUGGGGGUGAGUUAGGGCCAAGGUCCAUUCUUAUCAUGGUAUCAGAGCCAGACCCAUCCCAAUUAUUGUUACCGAUGUUGGGCCCACAUUUAUGUUGUCCACGCUCCAAAGGUCUGGGCGUGAGGGGAGGUGUUGAGUUGUCCCACAUCGGAAGGAUCUGAGGUCCUUGGUCUCCUUAUAUGGCUUGGGCAAUCCUCACCUCAUAAGCUAGCUUUUGGGGUUGAGUUAGGCCCAAUGUCCAUUCUUAUCAUGGCAUCUAAAGAUGUUGAGUUGUCCCACAUCGGAGGGAUUUGAGGUCCUUGGUCUUAUAUGGCUUGGACAAUCCUCACCUCAUAAGCUAGCUUUGGGGGUUGAGUUAGGCCCAAGGUCCAUUCUUAUCAUGACUUAAUGAUGUCAAAGAUGUAGCGGAGUCAUUGUAAUGAUCUUUUGUACUCUUUUGCAGAACCUUCUUGCCAUUAGCUUGAGUAAUAUUACCUUUACGUUAUUAAAAAAAAUUCGAAUUAUCUAUGUGCUGUGGUAAACUUCUAUAUAAUGUUUGAGGUUAAGAUGAUGCAUCCCUUUACCAUUUUUAUAAUUUUAUUGACUUACAUGAUUAGUGACUGCACCAUCUCCGUGUUGAUGCAAAAUUUAAAAUAAUUUAUUGUUCUCUAUCUGUCAAGUUGAGAUUUCUUUGAGAAGGGGUUCAAAGAUUAAUUUUGAAUGAUCAAAUUAUUUGAGUUUGCAAAUUUGAUUGGAUUUUGUGCCCCCCAACCCCCUCAAGUAAAAUUGUGCUAGUUGUCAAGUUAUUGGUUCUGGCUAAUGGGUUUCUUCUUUCAGGUUAAUAUCUCGUUGGCUGCGGUUAAUGCGCGCCUUCAAAAUGUCCGAGAAGAAAGGGACCAGUUCUAUGAAGCUAAUGAUCAGAUUGUUGCUCAUUUAAAAACUAGGGUUCGUCUUUUAUUUAAGUGUCUGUUCUUGCAUACUAAUUCCCUUUGCAUUGAUUCUAGUUCCAGCUCCUGCUAUGCCUGUUAUGUGUCUCCUAUCCUUACUUCUUGCACUGGCCAUCACCUAUCUCUUCAUCCUCAUAGGAAGACGAGCUGACAAAAUCCAUUGGCUCAUGUAAAGUUGAAGCAAAUAUCCUUAGUACAUGGAUUAACUUUUUGGAAGAUACUUGGACCCUUCAGUCUUCAUUUACAGAGAGUAAAGACAAGGAGGUCAGGUAUGUUAUUUGAUUUACUGCAUAAUCAUUCUUCCAGAUUUUAGCCGGAAGGACGUUGAAGUAUAUCUCUGUUUUAGUUUGUUCAGUGUUAUGCUGAAUGGAUUCUUGGUGUUGCUUACUUUUGUAGUGUUGAACUCGAAAAGCACGAGAAUUAUUUUGUAAACUUGGUGAUUCAACUCCUCUCUGUUUAUGAGGUACUUGAUUGGUAAAUGAUCCUAGUUUCUUUUUACUGUGCUUACCACAGCACAUCUUUCUAAACCAUAUUUUUGGCUUGCACAGAAAGAGUUGAGGCCUUCUAUUGAUCGCAUUUCUAAAUUUGUUGAGAACUUGAAGACUUUAGGUGAAGGGUAAGGCCCUCUUUUUUCAUGCGUUUGUUAGCAUUUAAUGCAGUGUAGAGUCUCAUGGUUGUUUUGCUUUUGUCUGACAGCUCAGCUAUGGGAUCUGGUGUCUCAAAAUCGUUGAGCCCCAGGAAAAGUCUGGAGGAGGAAUACUUGGAUUAUGAAGCCAAGGUAGAAAAACAGAACUACAUCUUAUACAUUCACUUUUAUGUUGUUGCCUGCUAUCCAGAGAGUUAUGCUAGAGACGUCAAAAGUUUUUUAAAAACCAACUAAACCAAUCAGACUGAACCUGUUCACUGAUAAGUUAUUUUCUUUUAAAAGUGGGUCUAGGUUAAAGUGUAAGACCGUAACGAACAAUUAGGAGUGAUUUAUGAUUUUAUACAAAAACUAAAACAGUAUCAAAAACCUAAUAAAAUAUUAUAUGUAUCAAAAAUAUUAUCAGACAAAAUAUUAAUAUCGUAGUUGAGAAGUAUUAUAUUUUUGAUAGUUAACCAAGGACAAGGAGUGUGCUAUUUUAUGAGGUUCUCUCGUUAUCAAAUGAAGGAACCAGAGAGGGUAGGACAUUUAAAAUAUUGAGUAUGUUAUAAGUAAGAUAAUAAUGAUUUAAUCCUGUAUAACUUUACGAUACUGUUUCAAUUUAUUAGUUUUGCUUACUAAAAUUACAGAUUUUCCAAUUCAUCAUCAUAAUUGUUUUUUCUAAUUUUAUGAGAAUCUUUUUAACAAGGUGGCGAAUAGAGUUAAUUAAUAUGGAUAAGAUCCAUCACGCCUUUAAUUAUAUUCAAUACUUCUUUUCUUGAUCUAUCUUAUUUUUGUUUUUAUUUAUUUAACAGUUUGUAUUUUUAUAUAACAAUCUAAUUAUGUAGACUAUAAUGGAACAAUUUUGAAUGUUGUAUCUUAGGAUCACACAACAAAGUACAUCACACUUCUGAGAAAAUCAAAAAAUGCUUAAAAAGCUAGUGUUUCUCAUUUGAUUCACUAGUUUUAACAUAUUUUCGUGCUAAUUUCAUAUUUUUAUAGGGGACAUUUAUAAGUUUUAUUAUUUUGAUAAAAAAAAAUUCAUUCGUUUCAUAUAAAAUGUAGUAUCAUUGACAUUCAUAUUUAUCUUUUUAUAAAUAUUGUACUGUAAUUAGCCGAACUGAAAAUAAUCUGAAGAAAAAACUGAUACAUUCAGAUGGUUUAGGAAAUUUACUUUGGUUAUGUACAAUAUAUUAACUGAAAAUAGGUAUGAUACAAUUUUUCUAAUUAAAACCGUAUCAUUGAACCUGUAACUACAUUUGUUUAUUCAUGCUUCUCAUUUUUCCACUUCCAUCUAGGAGUAAUAAGUAUGCCUUCUAAAGAUGAAUUCGAAAGCGUCUUUGAGUGAAUUGGUCCUGCCUUUUACUUUGUUCGGUAUGCCUUGUAAAAUCACUCAAGAUUUCUCAAAGGUAUAUGUCUUCUAAGUGCAGAUUAUAACCAGGUUUAGUGUAGUCGACAACAUGAGGGAGCAGUUCUACUCUCAACAAGAGAAAAUCUCCAGGUUUGGUUGUGCAUUGUAGUGUUUUCUUUGUCAUUAAAUCCCUUUUUAGGUGCGAUGGUUCAUAAAGUAAAUUACUUGUCUUGUUUCUUUAGGAAAGAUGAUCCAGAUAUGAAAAAGCUGUUUGAAAACAUUGAGAAACUAAGACAGGAAUUUGAAUCUAUUGAAAGACCAAAUUUAGAAGUGGAAAAUCCUGUCCAAGAUGGAGAUGAUUCUUCCCAUGAAACCGUGGAUGAUAAUACUUCACAUCCUACCGAGCAGGCCAUAGAAAUUGCCGUAGCUGGGGAAAACAAGAAUGAUGAACCACCAUCUGCCAAAACAGAGCAGGUCCUGGACCCUGAAGCAGAGUUGGCAAAGUUAGAAUCUGAAUUUGGUAAGAUACAUCGCGAUUACUCUGCGGAAGAGAUAGGUGACUGGGAAUUUGAUGAGCUGGAGAAAGAGUUGAAAUCUGGGGACUCAGCGAUGAGCAAAUAGAUACAAACACCUGUUCAAACAUAUAUGGUCCAUUUCUACUAAUGUAUAAGUAGAAAAGAGUUAAAAUCUGGGGACUCAGCGAUGAGCAAAUAGAUACAAACACCUGUUCAAACAUAUAUGGUCCAUUUCUACUAAUGUAUAAGUAGUCAUGUAGGUAUGCAGGUUAAGCAACUCUGAAAUUUAAGCUCCUAAAUACUCUGAAUGUUCUUUGUAAGUUGUAUCACUAUAUGUCAUUCCAUGCAUUAUUUCAUUCUGUAAAUUGUCAAAGUUGGUGGAUGUACAACUGCAGUCUCUGAACAAACCUGUAGGAAAUUUGUUUAGCUACAGAUUGUAAACAUGCAAAUGCAUACCCAAGAUACAUUUGCAGAUGUGAAAAUGACCAUUUCUUUGUGGGCAGUUUGUGAUCGUGGUUUGCAAUGAAUGAUGAGUUAUUUGGAUCAUCUUCAGUGGUGUUAAGCUUAUAUUUUUGGAUUUUGGUUACGCUUCAUCUGAUAUGUACAAAAUUUCUACGUUAUUUUUGUUUUUAUC